UUUUUGGGAAUUUAUAAAAGAUUAAUGCAGUUGAAAAGUUUGAAUCUUGUGACAUUGUAUUAGUAUGGGAGUUCUGAGGGACUAUGCUGUCAGGUGAUAAGAAAGUCAAGACUUUACCAAACAAAAAGAAAUGCAAGUCAGACUUUCAAUGUUGAUUCUCGUGUUCAAAAAUUUAGAUACCAUUUUGUUGUUAUAAAGCGUCCAACUCUUUUAAAAUAGAAAUGUGAAUUUCAAGGUUUCGAUCUUGAAGUUUUGCUUUUGUGACAGACAGUAAAGUUCUUUUAGGACGUAUACAAGUUGAAACUAAUGAAAUUCAUUUCAGGGCCUGGGGGUUAUUAAGGCAUGGAUAGAUUUUUCUUCCAUUCACUGCAACAGAAAUCGUAAGAACUUUUUCCUUUGAAAAAUCAAACUGCCCUUUAGGCAUAAUUUUGGUCAAUGCAUUGAGAGAAGCAGAAAUUGAACAAUUUUUCAGAACCAAGAGAGCAAUUUUGUUGCAAUUUUCACUUGAUGAUUGUACAUGAGCAGGCAACCAGAAUCUGCUUUCUGCAGUUUGAUGAAAGGCUUGCAUAUGUAUUUCGCUUUAGUAUCCAUAAAUGUCAUGUUUUCUUGCAUAAAUAAAUGAUGUAGACUGACCAUUUGAUAUGAACUCGGAACUGAGAUAUGGAUAUAUUCUGAGUUGUAAAUUACACACAUAUGCAUGAUUAGACAAUAAUUAGGCAGAUAUGGAAAAUUUUGUGUCUAAAAUGCAAAUGCAGGGCAUGAGUGUUGGACAUAUUAACCAACAAGAAAACUCUUCUCUAGUUGUUGAUAUGGUGCAGCUUAUAUUUAGCUCAAAUUUAUAAAGGCCCUUACACCCUUUUUAGGUUCAUUUAACUGCUUGAGGAUGGGAGCCUAGCUGGUGGAGACCAUAAACUUUUGCUUGUAUUAACUUUAAAAUUUCAAUGUGUGAACCGAACUUUCAGUGUCUUCAAACCUCAAUUUCAAUAUUGUCUCUUGCUGUAGUAGGUCUAAUGGUUGUUGCUUCCGUCUUGCCAUUGUUUGGCAAGUGUUUUAUGUAGAUUUGCCAUGGGUAACAUAAGGUAGAAAGAAAAAGAAAAAGCAAGGAAAAGGAUCUUUUGGACAUUUAAGCGGAAACUCCUUCGGAGAUCUGAAUUCAUGUCUUUCCUAGUGCUGGUGUCUUAACACUUUGCAUUUGUAGUCCUGUAAAGAAUUAUAUUACAUGGUAUGACAAUGAAGGCAACCGUACAGCUUGUCAAUAGUUGGCUGAUAACAAUGAUCUUCAUGUUUGAGCGUGUAUUGGUUCGUUUUUUCUGAUCUCCCUGAUGCAAGUUGGUUAAUCUUGUUUUCUUGAUGAUCUUGUGGGAUGAAUUGAUCAAAGGUGUAAAGCAACUUUAAGAAAUCACAGGCCUAAUUAAUUCUAUGGACUAAGCGCAUGUUAACCUUACUUGUCCUAGUAAUCAAAAUGUGGUAUCAAAAUGGUUUAAAGCAUGAAGUUAGGCCAGAAACAUGAAAAUUGAUUGACCUUUAAUGUCUAUUCUACAUGAAUACUUCAAUUCCUAACCAGACACCAGGACUUUGAUAAUGAAGAUCUAGUCAAUUGAUGUUUAUUCUUCCAGCAUUAGGUUGAUUCCAGCAUAAUCUUCAUGUUAGGUACCAGUCUAAAAAUACAAAUUUGGGACGCCUAAUGGAAACUCAUUGUCCAAGCUUCUGGGAGCACUAUACAAGGACCAAUUGCAAAGUUUUAGACAAUUUCAUAGAUUCUCCGUUGAGCAGCCUGAGGCAUGUACUCAAUUAUUACUAUUGUAAUCUUUUGUAAUUUAUGAAAAUUAUAUUUACUGUUUAAUCCAAUUUUUCUUUGUUGCUGAACAACUUUUUGUUGCUUUUACAGGUUUACUGGUCAAUUGUUCUGGACCAUCUCUCAAUUAAAUUUCUUAAAGCUCCAGAUUGCAUCCUUGAUACUUCAGACAAAUCAAAACAUGGGGAAAAUGGUUUCCAGUUCAGUGUUGAAUAUUGCCGAGUGUUGCUUGAUUCCAAGCAGUUGUCCAAAGAAGGAAGAUGACAGUUUAGCUAUAAUAUGGAGAAAUGAAGGAUGUGAUGACUUAGAUGUUAGUCAGAUGACACUAAGAGAGCUUCGAGAACUAGUAAUGUGAGCUCUCACUUUGAAUACUCGGCUCCAUGAACAUACUUGUAUUGAGAUUUACUAGUCAUUACUUCAGAAGUCGUUUUCUUUGGUGGUCACCAUGUAAUUUGUAAAAGCUGGCUCAGUUGGCCUUAUGGUGGGCUAGGGUUACCCUAUGAGAUUUUCUAUGCUGUGAAAGCAUGGUAUCAGUGCUCUAGGGCUUGAUUUCCCAAGCUGUCAGUGCUUCUUCUGUACAAAAUCGAAGCCCCUCCUGGCCACUCACAAGCCUACAGCAUGUAGAAUUGGGAAUCAGUGAACUGAUACAGUCCUGCUAAUUAGGUGACAAUGUUUCCAGUCUAGCUUCAGGAGCUUGAUCCUUACAAGCUGCAUCUAACAAUUUUCUACAGAGUAACAACCCAAAAACAACAGUUUCAUCUAGUAUUUUAUUUCUUGUUGUUGUUCCUUUUUUUCCUUUCUUAAUAUUUAUUCCAUGCUAGUGUGCUUCACUAACAUACAAUCUUUGAAAAGUAUUUACCAGGGCCAACAAAGAUCUCCUUAGGAACAUGGCAUGUUUAUAGAGUGUCCUCCUUACCUACCUUAGGUCCAAGAUGUUCAGUCUUUGUUUCUUUCCCACUAGUAAUGAGAAUUGGUUUCCCUAGAGUGCCAGAGGAUAACAAAGUUUCUUCAGAUAAAUGACCACUUCAUUCUUUUGUUCAUACAAGCUUCUUGUUUGCUAGGCUCAUGUUUUCUGUUGUUUAUUGAAAUCAACCUUCUCUGUCUAUUCCUUUUCUCACACCAAGUUUUCCAUAGGUUAGUGGCAAAUGUGCGCUGCAAAAUUCUCAAAGGGAGAUGCAAUUGCAAUUGACAUGCCAAUGACAGCGACUGCUGUUAUUAUAUAUCUAGCAAUUGUGCUUGCAGGUUUGGUUGUUGUCUCAAUUGCUGACAGCUUUGCAGCACAGGAGAUCGCAACCCGGUUGCGUGUGUCUACAGCAAGGGCUGUAUUUACUCAGGUAGUUCAAUAUAAUCUGUACAAGUCUUUUACUUUUAAAUUACAAAACUGGUAUUGAACUUGUGUACAAAUAUCUCAUGUUUAGCUUUAUGCGUUUGGUUGAUGCCUGUAAUUCACCGUAAAUCUUAAUGGUGAUUCUUUAGUUCGAGUGCUAUGAACUCCAAAAAUCUCAUCCAAUCUUUAUGGUGAAAAUGUUUCCUUUUAGUGUAUUCUGAUGUUACACAUGAUUCCUAUUUGAAAAUUAUAUUCUGGCGUGGUAGAUUCUUUUCUCCAAGUUAUUACAAUUUCGGGCACCAACAGUUGCGAAGAAAAUAUAACUGUAGCCCAAUAAUGUAUAAAAUGCACUGUUUGGACCAAUCCUUUAAUCUGCUACUGAUUUGGUUUACUUCGACUGGCUGGUUGCAAGUUAAUUUGUUUGAUUUGUCUGUUUAAGGCAGUUUUUAGUGGUUGGAAUUGCUUCUAAACUAUUGAGAAAAUUCAGGAUUUUAUUCUACGAGGAGGUCGAAAAGUUCCUUUAUACAGGUAAUGAUUUGCAUCUCAUCUUGGAUUGGGUCAUAUUACUUAGUAGCGAAGCUCUUACUAGUUCACUCAAUAACUUAACAAUAGUGUUUUCCCUCACCAUCUGGUUUCUUUAUCAGAGUUCUAUUGUCUGUUAUCAUCUGUAAGCAUCAUGGACAGUGAUGGGUACUUUGACCUGGAAUUUAUUUUGUAAAAUUGGACUAUAUCAUGUAUCAUCAGUAUUUAGGAGCAUUCGAACUCUUAUUAGAACAAACUGAGACUGAGAGAUAGAGAGUCCAAAAGAAAAGAAAACCAAGGGAAGAAAGGAAGAACCAAAUAAACAGUGGAGACAACAAGUAAUAACUCAGAGACUAAAAGAUUUCAGCGAACAAUAAUGUGUUACCAUACAAGUCACCGUUUACCUGAUCAUGUAGCUCCUUUGAUUCAGGAAUUCAGAGCAGUGCUAAUUUUCAUUGCACUGUUUGAAUGCCUUCAGUUUCCAGACAUCUCGUGCAUAUGCUAACUAUUUUUUCAUUCUGCUUUCUUAUUGGUUUUCCUUGCAUCACAUAAUUGGUUUAGAAGUACUUGGCUUUAAGAGUUUGAUUAAUCUGAAAGCUAAGCUCAAUUUUCAAUCUAUUGAUCUAAACAAAAUCCAUGAGAGAAAAGUCUAUUCGUUAAACACAGAGAAUUUAAGGAAGAAGUCCUUCGAUUAGUGCAGAGGGGGUUAACAAUGAUGGAAGAUCUAACGGGAUAAUGGAAUCCUAAGGAAAGAUGUGUUCAAAAUUUGAUGGUUCCUAGUCUCUACAAUGGUUAUUGUGAUCAGAUUUGUUUUUGCAGUCGAGUGGUGGAAGCUGCUCCUUAUGAAGCUAUUGUAAUUCCUGCAUCUGGAAAGGAGUUAGCUGUCCAGUUAAGAUGCCAAGAUUUGUCUUGGAAUGAUUUUCUUUCUAGUGUGUGUAUCCUUCCAAGGUAAUAUGAUACUGUUCUCUGAAAUUGCUUUUUCUUUUAAAACAUGUAUGAUUCACUAAGAAAGGUACAUGUCUAACUUUUAAAAAUGUAUAAAUCUCUUCCAAUUUACUGAAUAUGUAAUUUUGAAACAUUUUCCAUUCUGGCAGUUCAAAUUACUUCACACCAGCUUAUCAACCUAUAGACUCUGUCACAAUAUCCUAUUUUCAUCAGGAACCACAGGUUAAAAAGUUAUUUUUGAUGGCUGCUUAUACCUCCACUUUAUUAUAUUUUUAUUUUAUCAUGAUUUUCUACAUGUUUUUGUGUUUAUGCUUGUUGUUCAAUAGGAGAACCAAAAGCUAUUCCAUGGACCAGCAUUCUCCCAUUAGGUGUGCUGCUGAUACAUGGGCACAUAUUGAUGUUCAAGAGGGAGAUGUUUUCUGCUGGCCUACAAAUUUAGGUUGGGUGAUGGGCCAAUAUUGCUUAUUCAUGCUUUCUGUCUGGCGGAACACUUGCUCUAUAUCAUGGUUCUCCUUUAGGCCGUGGUUUUGGGAAAUUCAUUCAGGUGAUUGCCACAGAUUCCUGUGUCAGUUAAGAGUAAAAUCAUUUCUCCUUGAAAUGAGGAGAAUUGUUAUUUGAUCCUAAUAAUGAACAUGCUGCGCACAUUGGUCCCUUACAAAUGCCAUUACUGCUAACACGAAUAUCCUACCAAUCCCCUACUCUUGCCUCUUUCCAAUUUAUGUGCUUUAUUAGGAUGCAGGAGCAACUGUAUUGGGUACUGUUCCAAGCUUAGUUAAGACUUGGAAGAGUACAGGGUGUAUGAAUGGCCUAAAUUGGACAAAGAUAAGGUAUUGUCUGUGACAUUUAUAUUUAAGUGGUUCUAAUGGUUUGCCAAUAAAGUACUAGAGUUUAUAAUCUUGUGCAGGACUUUUGCUACCACUGGAGAAGCUUCAAACAUAGAUGAUGACCUUUGGCUUUCUUCAAAGGCUUACUACAGUCCCAUUGUUGAAUGCUGUGGAGGCACAGAGCUUGCAUCAUCAUAUAUCCAAGGAAACCCUUUACAACCACAAGCAUUUGCAGCAUUUAGCUCUGCAUCAAUGUCCACAAGUUUUGUCAUCCUGAAUGAAAAUGGGCUUCCUUAUGUAAGCACUUUGACUGGUGUCUACAAGGCUUCAGUAUUAUUUAUUGCAAUAGAAUUGCUGCAGCAAAUACUUUUGAGUUCUGCAAUCAUUUAUGAAGAGUGGCUUAUUUUCUGUUCAAUAGGCUGUAUUGCCAAGUGACUUGUUGUUGCUGUUUCUUUGUGCCUCUUACAGUAGUAUCACUUGAACAAUUUUAGUAGACCUUUCAAUUGAGAUCGACUGAUGCUUAAUAUCUAGUUUUUAUGGUACAGCCAGAUGAUCAAGCAUGCAUUGGUGAAGUGGGUUUAUUUCCUCACUACAUGGGAGCAACUAAUAGAUUGUUGAAUGCUGAUCAUGAGGAGGUGUAUUUCAAGGGCAUGCCAUAUACAAAGGAAUGGUAUGCUGUUGUUUGACUUGAAUUACUUCCUUUUUUAGGUUUUAUAUAAAGUUGGAUUACCUGUUUAUAUAGCAAUGCCUAGAAAAUUCGCUUGAAAAGUCAUUUCAACAAUUCUCAACUUUACCACACAUUAUCAUGGACUAUAAAACAAGCUGCAGCAAAAUGAUUUCCAGCCUUUGAGCUAUGUAGUUGCUUUCUUUAGCUGCUGUUCCUAUCGUGUUUGCAAUCCUUGAGAUUUGGCCUCAUUAGCUGUGCACAAGUGUCAGUGGAGCUACCAGGAUUAAAACAGUGCACUGGUUAAAGGAACAGAAAGUAUGUGGUUGGAGUUCCCAUGCUUGUAAACUUGGGCAUAAAUUCAUGAUUGCAUUGUUUUUGUGAAUGAUUUCAAGGCCUCAAGCAUCAGUUCACAGAAUCCAAAAUAACAGUGUGCCUAGGAGGAAUCAUGCUCUUUCUAACAAUUUUUGUCUUGUUUAUCCAUUGAUAGGUGAGACUUCCUUGGGAAGAAUAAUAUGAGAUACAUAACAGUAGAAACAGCUGGUUCUCUGUAGGAAACAGCUAUGCAUCAAGACUAUUAAAUGCAAACCAAUACUAAGAACCACUUCAAGUCUAGUCUUUCUCAAUGGAUGAGAGCUCUGGAUUUAUACUUAUAGAAUUUCUGUGGAUAAAAUCGGGUGGUCCUUUACUUCUUUUAUAACUUAAUUUCUAUUCUCAGCAACUUAGGCGACAUGGUGACAUCAUCAAACGCACUAUUGGAGGGUUUCUCAUUGUACAAGGCCGGGCUGAUGAUACCAUGAAUCUGGGGGGAUAAAGGUAUAUCUCUAUCAUACUGCAGAUACAGUCUCUUUACCUGCGCUAUCUUUCUGUCUGUCUACAGUUUUAUCUUUUUUGUUUUGGAGAUUGCUGCUCUAGUUAAUUCGAAAAACACCGAGAGCUAUUACCCUUUUCUUAUUUUGUAGCUUGCCUUUUUACCUAUGUUUUACUGAGAAAACUGAUUGUAUUCGUAUAGAGUCCAGGAUGGAAGAUUUCUACCUAAAAUUUUCUUUUGAGACAUAACUUCUUGAGUUGGAAAUGGAUUUAAUUUUCUUCUCUAAUAUAAUAGAAUGGCUGGCCUUGAGCUAUUAUUGGUUUUCUGCAAGUCAGUACUUUGUUAGUUUGCUACUUAUUUAUUUAUUUUUAUUCCUGUGCAGACUAGUUCAGUUGAGAUUGAGCGUGUAUGUAACCAGGCUCAUGAUGGUAUCUUGGAAACUGCCGCAGUCAGCACUCCACCGCCGAAUGGUGGCCCAGAGCUGUUGGCUGUAUUUGUUGUGCUAAAGGAAGGAAUCCGUGCUGACCCUGAUUUGCUGACGAUGAAAUUCUCAAGAGCCAUACAGAGCAACCUCAACCCUUUAUUUAAGGUUUGCCAAUGCCCCUGAAAAUGCAGUGAUUGUCUUGUUUUCAUAUUCGAUUACUUUAAUUCUUGGGGUGCUAAUCCGUGCAGCACCUAACCAUUGGAGUAUACAUGCUAGACAAGGACUAAUGUAGAGUUUACAAAGAAAAUCACAAAGAACCUUAGUCACAGCAAUGACUUUUCUUAUUUUUUCCCCCCUUUCUACGAACAAAGAAUCUGAAUCCAUUCCAUGUCAGCGAUGGGGUUAGUUCGAUGUUCUGACUUCUCCAAACCCCUGAAAUUGAAAUGAAUGACAACCUUGGGAUAGGUACCUAAAGUUUGUAUAACCUUUACCAUGACACUGAGAAACAUAUUCCUAGGAUAUUGAGUCUAGUGCAGUUUGAAGUGGAUGCCAUGUAAAUAACAUAUUGCAUGCUUGCCUGUCCCAAGUAGUUUGUUCAAGAUCCGUGUAGAUAGAGGGUGUCUUUUUUUUUGCGAAACAAUAGACCCUACAUUUUGUUCUAUACUAUGGGGAGGGGAGAGGGGGGGACCUAAAGAGGCCUAGAGAAAACCGGAGGGGACUAAACCACCUACUGGCCCAAAUAAGUGCACUAUGCACUCGUCCGGUAGCCACUUGAAGUGGCCUGCCACAUUUAGUGGCAAAUGGGGGAGGCAGGGUUUGAAACCCUGACCUCCCACCCCACAGAGAUAGGUAGUAUUAUUCUGGCCCACUUUACUGCUGAACUUAUAACUUAAUUGCUAUAGAUAAUUUUCCAUACCAAGUGCCAGUAAUACUCAGUACUUGGUGAUCAUGAAUCUUGUUGAACAACACACUAUAUGGAAGUUUUACAAGUCAAGUUAUACUUUAGCAUCAUCUCCCUUGGCCAGUCAAACUUAUAUCGGACAAAGGAUUUUAAUGUUUCUGUGCAAGAGCAGAUGUGCUACUGUGAAGUGCAUUAAAUUUGUGCGCCGCAAGAAAACAUUCGGUAGCAGUUGGAUGAGAUGGGAUACUCAAUCUAUUCUCUAAUCUUCUCUUUUUCUUCCCUGUUGAAAGUGAACCAGAGUCACUGAUAAAGUCACAUUGCACUAAGUUUGGUUUGAUUGGUAUAGGUGUCUGAUUUCUGUUCUAACUUAAUGUAGGUAAGUUUUGUGAAGAUUGUCCCUGAGUUUCCUCGAACGGCAUCAAAUAAGCUUUUAAGAAGAGUUUUAAGAGAUCAGUUGAAGCAGGAGCUUAACAUACGGAGCAAGAUCUGAACAUGGGAUUGAUGUUUCCAAAACUUUGUGCAAUAAUUACUUUAUUUCCUAUUCCUGACAGGACUACGUGCAAUAAGAUCAUUGAGUGGUUAGUUUCUAUGUUUUCCAUCAUAGCAAAGAACUGUUGAUAUUGUGAUCAUGGGGUCAUAUAAAGAAAUUGGUUUUGUUAUAAAGAAGUUAAAUUUACUCGAACUAUUAGUACAACCUAGUUCUGCAUCUAUAGUGAUAAUAUACUGUGUUGCAGAAUUUGUACACUUUUUUUUUUUUUAAUCCCUCUGCUUUUCAGCUUGGUUAAAGCAAGUGUAAAACCAAAACGCAUCAGAAAAGAAAGUAAACUGGUCCUUCGUUGCUGGUAAAAGUCCCUGCGGGCUAUCAUUUUGUUAAGCAGGUUUAGUAGGCCAAUUGGGAGUUUAGUUGGAGAUGGAGCUUCUAUUAGAGGGACAGAAGUCUACCACAAAGAAGCUUUGCAAACUUUCAAGGAAUUCGCGUCUACCUAUAUGCAUUACAUGCAUACUGGACAGAAGUCUGAUCUGAAAUUCAUCUGAUCAACCAAGAUAUAUAACCAAAUGUAGUCAUGUAUAAAACUGGACUGACUUCAUUGACAAUACAAAACAAUCAUUUAUAGCCGUCAAAAAAAAUAUUUACGGCUGUUGAAAAAAAAUUAUUUACAACCGUCUCAUGUCUCAAUGUCAAUACAUCAAGUUAUGAACAAAUUACUAUAUCAACAAUCCGAACUUCCUACCUACUUGGGACUGUACAAUUCAGAGGAAAAUACUACUCUACAUUAGUCCAAGAAUUCAGAGAGGAAAAUGCUACCCUACAUUAAUUGACAAUCACCCUUUCUUCUGCUUUUCCAAAUCAAAAAUAUGCUUCCUCCAAGAAUUCCUCCCUCAUGCGCAACCUGAGCUGUUCUAAAGGGUUCACAAUGUUGCCAUUCUUCAGGACUCUCAGCACCAUGACAGGUUGAUACCCGCAGCGGUCGUAGACAGGAGAACAUUCGCUUAACAUCUCGAGUUCCUUGAGAAUCAUCAGAUUUUCCUCGAGUUCAAGCUCUGCUUUCCUUUUCAUUGUCUCCAAAGUAACCCUGGCAGCUUCCCUUUGUUGACCAUGGAAUUGAAGUCCAUCUUUUGGUUUUAGCAUAUGUUAGGUAUAUGGCAGUUAUCUAGGGAGAAAUAGCUAUAUUUAUAUUGGUUUCAAAUCGUGGAAUGCUAUGAUAUGUAAAUGUUUGACAUGGUUAACUUUUGUGGUUUGACAUAUUAUGGUUGCCUACUAAUGAUAAUUUGUAAAAUUUUGGUUGAUAUUUUCCUUGCAUACUUUUAUAUUUUGAUUGGGUGGAGUGUCUAUACAGAUGAUAUGGUCACUUUCUUAUCACUAAAAUUGCUGGGCUUAAAAAAGCUAAAUGGUGAAAUUAGAAAUUAAUAUGUUAUAGUGAUACGGCUGUUGUCAGGAAAAAUGACCUUGUAUUGUCAUUAAAAUUUUAAGCAAGUUUCAAUGCAUGACUUUUCUUGACAAUUGAAACUUUAGUCACAAAGUUCAGGGUCUUUCCCGACAAAGGCUCAUCAAGACUAUGAGGUCUUUCCCUAACGACCAAAUCAUCACGAUUACCUUUCCUGAUGAUGCAUCACAGAAAAUGACACUUUUCUUGAUGAGAAUUUCACUAGUUGUCGGGAAAACCUUUUGCUGACGGCGUAUGAGUGACCAAUAUUCCCUGACAAUAUUGACGUCACGAAAACCUUUCCUGACAAAAUAUGUAACUUUUCUUGACAAAAAUUGUUGUCACUAGAAAUUUUUUUUUUGGUUGUAGUGUAACUUCUUUCCAUCAAACCUUCUCACCUCUGGAACUAAAGUAUCACCACAUCCAGUUUUCUUCAAGCAAGUCUUGUACCUUGAUAGCUCUCCAUUACCAGCUACCAUGCUCCCCUCCAAUUCUUCCCCAUCCAUGCUACUUUCUACAAGCUUGGCACAAGCCACUCUAUUUUCAGCAUGCUACAAGAAGAAAAGGCUCAAUAUUUGAUUUAUUUUGUUAAACACUUCCAAAAAACAGAUAAAAAAAGAAAAGCCAUUGAAACAGGCAAAUAGACUUGCAGUCAACAUUUUUUACCUUCAUUUCCACAUUCCGAGAAUUGUAUAGCACUCUGGUGGGCAAAAUCACAGAUAACUACCUUCCAUCUUCAAAACUUGAUUGAUAAGUGAAAACAACUUCUCCCUCUUGACAUUCUCAUAAGAACAACACGAGAACCUUGGUGUUCUUUGUCCAAAAAGCAUGAUCUCUACUUCCUAAACAAAUUCUGGAAAAAAAAAAAUCAUAAUAUUACGUCACAAUGCUACUUCAGUUAUGACAUUAAGUAGAAGCAUGAGCCACGGAAAGGUUUGGUCUGGUAACUAGUGCAACAAUUUAUCACUCAAAUCCUAAAGAGUCAACAAAUUAAGCCAAAUUCCAUUGAUUAAGCCAUAAAGAAAAUACACUAGUGUAGAUACCACCCUGCAUUUGGCACAAUUACAUGACUCAAACAUACUUGCAAACUUGGACCAAUUCCCUUGUACUUCUAGUAAGUUGGGUGGAGACACUUCCAAACCACUUACCUCCUCAUCUUUCUUCAAAAACGAUUGGAAACCAUUGCUUGAUGCUGCAGUUGGAGAAUGUGAAAAGUGCAAUAAGAUGCUUUAGAGGUUCCAGGCUGACUGUGCCUUGAGCACGCUUUUGAGCCUUCCAUUGCUUGCAGGCAAAUGUUUCAGCACUGUCAUUGCUUGCUGCUUCACCGACACUUGUUGCCUGCAAGGCCAUAAUAUUAUCAAUCCAAUUCACAAAAUAGAAAAAGAGCACCCUAGUUAUAGUGUCUGAACUUUAAAAAUUUCCAAAGAUGAUAAAAAUUUAUAGUUUUAACGGCACCCUAGUUCCUCUGCAAACAAUUUCAACUCGAUCGACAUUGAGCUAAUUUUAUGGCAAUCAUAACGCAGAGCCCUACGGAAGAGAUAAUAGUGAAGAUUAAGAACAUAUCCAUCCAUUAAAUGCUAGCGGUAACAAAAAAAAAUUGUAAUGUUCUCCCAAAUUGCUAUUUCAUUGGUUUUAAGGUUGUUUGGAAAUAUCAGUGACAGGAAAAAAUAAGAACAUACCCCAUUGAAGCUGAAUGGUUACGCUUGCAAUGUUAGUGAAUUUCAUGGACAAAUAGUCAGUACCAAGUUCACAUGUAGUAGUGAAUUUUACCAUGCUCAUUAAUCCUUUGGAUGGUUUAGAAAAGCAGAUGAAAUCCACAAUUUUAUUGUCUUUCAAUUUGCUCGUAACUCUAAUUUGUUAAUGGCAAGAAUUAGCUUAAAAAUUGAAUGAGAAAGUAAUCUUCGCCAGAAGAAGUAGAGGAAUAGAUAUUUAUGGAGAGAAAGAGUGAGGGACAAAUACGGGUAGAAUAAGAUGAUCCAAUAAUGAGAAGCAGUUAAUUAAAAUUUUGAGAUGAAAUCUUACCGGAUGGCUCAGAAAUACCGAAAAUCAAUUUUACGCUCCGGAAUAUCAGAGAUCUUGGGCCACUCGGAGCCGCUUUGAGGAGUGCAUCUUCGAUUUAAUAGAGGACAAAACCAAAUUUCCAGACGUCUUAAUUUGAGGCGUUCCAUGGCGGCCAUGGAGGGUAAGUAUUCAAGCUUUGGGCAACCCGAUAGGAUUAGGUCUUCAAGAGAUGCAAAAUUCCCAAGCCAUUCUGGUAAGGCUUCGAUUGCUCCGAAGUCACCUAGAGACAGUGAUGUGAUGGUAGUCAAGCAUUGAAGCUGAUGUGGCAGAGACUUCAUGUCGGGCAUUCCACAUAAAGACACGCACCGGAGUGUUGAUGAAGAUGCUAACCCAGCCCAAUCAAAUUUGAUUACAGAGUCAUCUGUAAAGGGACCAAUCUGCACUUCCCUUAAGCUGGUAAGAUAGCCAAAAUCCACUAGGCAUCUCAGCAAUCAAGUUGGGACAGUCGAAUAAUUUGAAGCUCGCGAGAGAAGGGGUUCGUCGCAAAUCAAGGGGAAAGGAGACCAGACUGUGCCAAUUGUACAAAUUCAGCUCUCGGAGAGACGUACAUGACUCGAACAUCUCCACUGGCAAUGUUGUUAAUUCAUGGCACCCAUAGGUAAGAAGCAUCUCGAGAGACUUAAGGAGGCUUUUCUGUCCUGUAUUAUGAUUUGGAUAUCCAAAUGAAUUGAUUCUCGGGCAGUCACCUACAGUCAAGCACCGUAAAGCUUGAAAUUGAUAGAGAUCAUCUGGCAACUCCCGUAAAUUCUCACAAUAAUGGACUGCCAAACUCUCAAGACAAGCGGCGCAACUCAUUCCUCUUAAUGUUAUUAUAUUAGGGCAACGAAACAAUCUUACAUCCUGAAGAAUUGGAAAGAGGCAGAGUCGCUCAAGCAUGUCAGUGGGUAGACUGUCACAGCCCUCAAUCUCAAGCUGCUCUCUGGUCGUUUCACUAAUUCUAGAGACUCGAUGCUUUGUAGACCACCCCUUAAAUAAAGGGAAGAAAGUGUGGUUAUAUUGCUCAAAACCUUUUCCGCCACCAAAACGUGGCAAUUCCAUUUGAUUUCCAAUACAUCAAGACUUGGGAAACGACUUGGAGUUGGAAUGGUGGUCAGCUUGGGGCAAUCGCUAAUAUACAACUUUUCCAGCACAGGAAACACAUCCAUCACACGUACUUCACCUGCGUUUGACAUCAUUUCGGGUGCGUCCUUCCACUCUUCCAAAAUUUUCAUGCUUUCAAGAGAGAGAAUUUUGAGGGAUGGAAAGAAUGUUUGUCUGCUAAUAGUGUCUGAACCUCCUGAUCCGCCAUCCUCCUCAGCACUUGCACUGUAGAAUGAAAGCCCAAUGCUUGUUGUGUUGUCCAAUCUAGUCAGAUAGAGGCACUUGAGGAACGGCAGCUGUCCAAGUGCAGGGAGUUUUCUGCAUCUUGUGCAAUCCUCCACCCGCAACUCCACCAGUGAUGUCAAUGUCAAAUUCAUGAACCAUUGUGGGAACUGAUCACCCAUGAACUUCAAAAUUUGUAACUCUUUUAAAUUUGGGUGAGGCUGGAGACCUUCCAACACAUCUUCAUCACAUUUAUCACUUUCGAUCCCUAUUGCCCCACUCAAACACCAACCGAUACAUAUUUGGCUUUUAGAUAGGUUCGCUAGUUCAGCAUCAUCUUUGCCAUUUACUAAUUCAAGAUUUCUGAUCUCCAAGGUGCCUUUAAGAUCUUGCAAGGUUCCAAGUUCUUGGAUACCACGACCUUCCUCUUGAUGACCUAUGUUAAAGAACUCUAAUGUUUGAAGACAAGUCAAUCGUCCAAUCCUGGAUGGCAUUUGGAUUUUGCGCCCUGCAUGAUCAUAAUAGUGAAGAUGUCUCAAGCUAAUCAAAUUGCUCAUCUUCUUUGGCAAACCUUCUUCAAGCAUGUUAAUUCUCAGUGUUUGCAAACUAUAAAGUUUGCAAAGAGAUUUUGGCACAGUUGUAAUCCUAGAACCUGAAAUGUCAAGUAAGUGUAAAUGUAUUAGUUUGCCAAUGGAGUUCGGCAACUUUUUGGCAUCUGCUCCAAACAAUUUUAGGACAUGCAAGUAUUGAACUUUGAUAACAUAUCAUCAGCUAUGCCACCCUCCAGAAAUAAUGUGCGAAGUGAUUCUGAUUUUUUUUCAUUGAUGGUUUCUACCGCCAGGUAACGGUCCCAUUGCUGCUGUUACGAUUCAAAAUUGAUUUUGCAAAAUCAUGCACAAGAUCAUGCAUUUUAUAUGAUGUUUUCCACUCCUUUUUUACUUCUUCCAAUAAGGAAGUUUGCAGCAAAGUUUUCAGAUACUUAUAUCUCUUUUCUCCAUUCUUUCAUUUUGGGAAUCGGUUGAGAAAAGCCUUCAGCCAUCCAAAGCUCAACUAGUGAUCUUGUUCCAAUUCAGUAUCUUGAUCAAAAAUUGAGCAAUAUGCAAAACAUUUCUUAACCGGUGCAGGUGAGAGAUGAUCAAAACUCACCUUAAUUAUUGCUCGAUCCCACCCUGAUCUCCAUUCAAGAGACUCUCCUCCAAAAUAGAUAGCCACUCCUCUUUCUCUUUUAGAUAACAAUCCUCCAAUUAGCUUUGCUGAGAGAGGUAGACCGUCACAUCUUCUUAAAACUUGCUCCCUUAUGUCUUCCAAUUCUUUUGGUACUUCUUCCCCUACAGUUGCCCAUUUUUCAUGAUAGACCAGCAAUCAUUAUUGCAUAGCUUUCUCAGCUCAUGGCGAGUAAAAUUGAUCUGCGGAUGUCUAGACAGAAUAAUUGCCACUUCUUGCAGACGAGUGGUAACAAGACACCAGCUCCCUUUCUUGGUAUUGAGUCCCGCCAAAGUGCUGAAAAAGUCAUUCAACAAUACUUCUUGAUCAUUCACAAAUCAUCAGAACAAGGAAAUAUCUUUUUUCUUGAGUUCAUGCUGAAUUUUUUUAACUAUUUCCUCCCUAGGAUCCCCUUCGGUCUCUCUAUCUGUUAACGAUUUUAGAAUCAUUUUGAAGACCACCUCGAUUUCAUCUACUUUUUUAGCCACAGAAACCCACAUUGUUUGGUCAAAUGUCCAGCAAUUUGUUCAUUUUGUAAACGGCUUUAGCCAGAGUUGUUUUUCCUAAACCACCCAUGCCAGUUAUGGGAAUAACUGAAAUAACACUUUCAGAUUCGGUCAACAACUUCUUAACUAUUUCUGAUUCAUCCUCGUCUCUUCCUAGGACAUCUCUUCGCACAAUAGUAGAGUCAGUCUGUCGGCUUGUUGGGGCUCCAGCAGCAAUAGUAGGGAAUGCUUCUUCAACUCGGCGCUUGUAGGCCAGUCCCAAACCUUCGGCAUCCCGAUGGAUCCUCUCAAGGUUCGUGUUGAUCUCCCUGAUCGUUGAAGCCAACCUCGAACGAAAACGGACUGUAUUAAAGAAUGAAAAGCAGAGGAAUACCUUCUUUUUCAUGAGUUGAUUUUGAUACUUCACCUUCUGACGAAGAUUUUCAUAGUUGAGCUCGUCCAGCACAUUGUCAGCUUUGAAAACCUCUUCUUCCAGUUGCUUGAGCCAAUUUUGCACCCCAACAAGCUUCGGAUCGUGGCUAUGCAUUUCCUCAUCAGCACCGGCCAAGAAGCCUCGGAUCAUUUCAGCAGAUCUGUUGAGUCUCUCCAGCUCCUGUGGAAAUUCACGAACCAGACUAACCUGAUCAGCGGCAAGGGAAACAACCGUCUGCAGUGCAACCCGAAUAGUAGCACUAACAGCAGCAUCAGCCAUUUUUUUUUCUCGCUUGGGAUUGGAAUUAGGAUGAAAGUGUUGUGAUAUCGAUGAUGGUGAUGGGGGGAUGCUUUCUGUGAUGAGACAAGGAAGGAAUGGUUCAACUUUAGCAGCUAAGAGCAAAAUCUGUGGAGGCUAAUUAAAACUUGCAACUUGCCCGGCUUCAACUUCUUCCACUUUUUGCAAUUUGCCCGGCUUCACCUUGCAAAGCUGCACUCUAAAGACGUCACUUAGAAAGUUUUACCGCUUUACUGUGACAAUUUGUAGCAUGUGUUAGCCAGCUUCGGCUCUCUCAUUCCUCCUUGUUACAAUGCAGUAAAAGAGCAGGUACUAAUAGGCCUGUCAACGGGUCGGGUCUAGACCCGGAUCCGUGAAAUUAUUGCGGGUAUGGGUAGGGAUUUAAUUCCGUUUCCCGGAUCCGGAUCCGGAUCCGUUUUGUCAAAAAAAAAACGGGUCGGAUACGGAAUAUAGUAUUCCGGCCCGUAUUAGACCCGGAUCCGGAUAUAAAUGAAUUAAUAAUUUAAAAAAUAUAUAUUUAUCAAUAUAAUUUGAUUAGGGUGAUGUAUUUUAAUAAAGUUAAUUUGAUUUCUUUUCUUAUUUGAUUUUUUCUUUGCAUUAGUUAGAAAUUAGUUUACAAGUAUAUUUUUUUCUCAUUUUUAUUAGAAAUUAUAAAAUUUGAUAAAUUUGUUCGGGUAGACCCGGAUCCGGAUCCGGAUCCGGAACGUAGAAUAAAAGACCCGUCAGGUAAACGGGUCGGGUCCGGGUCCGGAAUAAUGAAUUCCGGCCCGGACCCGACCCGUUGACAGCCCUAGGUACUAAUAUAAAAUUGGCUUAACUUCUAACUCAUCAUCUUGUAGUUUCUCUCUUAUCCGUUUUCUUUUUAACUCCUUCCGAAUCCAAUUAAAAAUGUCAUAGUUUUGAAUUUUAAAAUGUCUCAAAAUAUUUAUCAUUUUAUUAAACUCAAAUUUACUUUUGAUCUCUUUUUUUCAAGGUUUUUUUCCCAUGUUUAUCAAUAUUUGGCAUUAAAUUUAAAUUUAGAUUUUGAAUUUUUGAGAACAAUUUUAGAUACAAAUCUACUAACAUCACCGUCAAGUUACUUACUAUCCUUAAAAAAAUUUGAAUCCCGAAAUACGACAAAUAAUUUGGAGCAGAGGGAGUAUUAUUUUAAUUUCCAUCAGUUGUGCUUGUAUACUCAAAUAUAAUGAUGAUUUCUUAAUUGAAUUUUGGUACUUUGUAUUGCACUUUGUUAUUUUAAAAUUAAAACACAUAUUGCUUUUUUACCAUUAAAAACUUUGGAAAGGUUUUUUACUUUCAUAAUAGAUUAGUGCAAAAUCAUCACUGAUUAUUUUCCCCACAAACUCAAUAGUGCAAAAUAGUCCUGUUGAUUAUAAAUAUAUAUAUAUAUAUGUGUGUGUGUGUGUGUGUGUGUGUGUGUGUGUGUGUGUGUGUGUGUAUGUAUAAAAGAUAAUAAACAAAAAGGAUUAAUCACUAGAGGGAAAAUUUUGUACAAAAGAACAAUUGCUAACUUCUAAUGAUAUAAAUACACACCAAUCUAUAUCUAUAUGUAUUGAAGAAGGGGUUUUUAGCAGAGACCCUCUCAAUAGCUUCCAAACUUUUCAUUCUUUUUUCUAGAUUUUUGUAUUUGUUUUAAUACAUAAAAAGUAGUGGAUUAUAACCAACCUUAUCACCAAUCAAAUUUAAAUUUAAAAUAUUCCCACUAUCUCUUAACUCAUUCUACAACCACUCCUACAAAUCCUCUGAUCAUCAUCCUACGUUUUCCCCCACAUUUUCUCCCACGUUCCCUACCACAUUUCCUCCCACAUUUCCCACUCCAAUUAAGAGUCCUCCAAUUUAAGAAUUUCGCCCCAAUUAAAACUCCUCCAAACAUAGCAUCCUUUUUCAAUUUUCUUGCAUACUCAUUCGUAUUUUUUGGUUAACCAAAACAAGAAUCUAUUAUCUCUUUCAUCUUUCUUGUGGUGUCAAUCUUAGUCUUUAACUUAAUUUCACCAUGGAAUAUGUCCGCCUACAAGCAUUUCAAUAACAACUAAAUUUCAAACUCGCACGAUUGCAAAAGAGGAAACAUUUGCUUAAGAAACGAACCGUACACCGCAACGAUUCCAUGUACCAGUUGGAAAAGCUUCAACAAAUUUGCGCUGACGAAAGAGAAAUUUCAAAUCAAAUUCGAAGGACAAAAUCUAGGCUACGCCGAUUGAAGCGUCAUUCGCAUCAAAUUAAAAAUUCCGGUACCGUGUAUUCUUUAAAUAUUUGCAUUUCCAUUGUAAUUUCAAAUAUUUUUUAUUAUUUUCGAUUAUUUCCAAUACUAAAAUAUGUCUAUAAUUUGUUUUCAACCCUUAUACUGAUCGACUUAAUUAACUCGAUCAGUUAGUUCCCCCCACCCUCUCCCUCAGUUUCUUCUUUAUUUUUUGUUCUCUAUUGAUUUUGUAAAUUUAUUUUUUUUGAGCAAUUAUGGAAGAGAUUAUGUGCAAAGACUUCAACGGAAAUCAACCUUCUUGCGUAGAAUUGGAAGUAUAUUCUUGCCGGCUAAAUUUUGCAGGUCAGUCCCCUCUGGCCCUCAUUUUUGUCAUGUUUUGCUUUUCUUUUAAGGUGAUUUGGUCUUUUACUUUCUUUAUUUUUUCUCCUUUUAUUUUCUGGGCUGGCGGAUGGUUUUGAUUGCAUACAUGAUCAAAUUUGUAAUAACCUGGAGAAGUAAUUAACUUAAAUCUUGAAAGGGCUUUAGUGCUAUGCCUUGAUUGAUAAGGUAUUGCUUGCUUAUAUAAUUGCGGAUGGUAUAGGAACCUGAUUGAGGGUUUUACUAUUUUUAACAUAAAUUGUAUAUUAUAAAAAUUUGUUUGUUUGUAUUAUUAACAUUUUUUUAAUUAUUUUUUAUUGCACACUUAUCACAUUAAAAAGGUGUUAUAAUAGUUACUUUAAAAAUUUUAUUCCAAAUAAUCUACUAUCUAAUUAUAAAAUUUUCGUGAAAUGAUCGUGCAUGAAAUAAAAAAUUUUUUUUUUUGAUAAUAAUUAAAAAAUGGUUUAUAAUUGGAGAAAAAAAUUCAAAUACUACUAAUAACUAAGGAACUAUACGCCCACUAUUAAAAUUGGAUUAAUUUUUAAUUUCGUCAGAAAUGCUUUUGGCAACAGUGUAUAACCUAUAUCUUCUUUCAUUCUUAUUAGAUUAAAUAUUUUCGAAUACUUGCUUACAUUCAGAGCAUUAACAUAGAAAAUAUGUUCUACGAGCUAUGCAAAAAUUGUGGACAACUAUGUGAAGGUCAUUUUUCAAAGACAGUGUGUAUGCAUUGUAAUGACGUGGUUGACACUAUUAUUAGAUAAUUAAUUUCAUGUACAUUUAAUUUCAACAUAUUUUUAUGUAUUGUAUAUCUAUAUCUUAUUUGUCAAAUAGGUACAAUGUUAACAUACAAAUCAGAUAUUCCAGUGGUAACAUGCAUCUUAAUUUACAAGACAGACAUGCACGAUACGUAUUUGGUUAAGAUGCUUCUGAUCUCAGAGAAUUACAAAGGAAGGUAGAAUUUGUUAAUAUAUAUUUAUUUUUUGUAGUACUAUUUAUAAACUAUGUAAACAAAUACACUAAUUUCGUACAUUCUUAAUUAUCAAAAAAAUGGUGAUAGGUUGUUCAGCCAACGAAUUAAUUCAUGCAAAGAUUGUGCAUUUUCAUUUGUAGUACGCACUCCACAAAAUUCAAUAGAGUUAAUUAAAUCAUCAAAUUUUGGCUUUCGUACUAAAAGUGGAUUGGUGUGACGAGUAUUCGCACCUUCAAGCAAGAUUAUCAAAUCGAAUGCUUAGUAGUUGUAAGAAUUUCAUUUUAACAACAUUCAAUUACAUUCAUUUGUAGAAAUAUAUCAUUCCCUUUUUUAAUAUAAAUUUUUAUUUUUUUUCAAAAUCCAUCUUUCGAAAAAAGACAGUUCUUGAAUGAUAUACACAUUCUAUUAUAUUUCAAGCUAUUGUUAAACAGAUAUUACAUUUUAAUUUUAUUGGUACAAUUUUUUCACCAUUAUUUGUUCACCCUUUUAUUUUUAUUUUGUUCAAUAAUGUCAGCACCGUACGUAGCACGGGUAUUCCUACUAGUUAAACAUAGCAAGUAAUAUGGACUUCAUUAAAAUACUCCCUUCGUUCUGAAAUUUUAGCCGCAUUUUAGGAUCUUUGCAUUUAUAAUUUCAAUAAUGCAAGAAUCUUAAGUGAUUUGGGUUUAGAUUCCAGUAAUACCCUGCUUGGAGUUUCCGGUGUUCAUGCGUUUUUGAAUGAUAAAAGAAUCACAACUUGUUACAAAUUGAAACUGUUUUUGGCUCCUUGCAAUCAAAUUGAAAUAAAGUAAAGGGUCAAUUAGCACUAAUCUCCAAUGAGAUCUUGCAUCCCUACAUUUCACCAAAAGGCAACCCAAGUAGUAUCAUCCAAAUACACAAUUUCCAAAACACAAAAUCACUAGUUAUAUCAGCAGCAGCAUCAGAGAGAGGGAGGGAGGUUUCAGCAGCAAGUAAAAUCUGUGUGGAAGCUCUGAAGAAAGGAUAAAAAUUGGGUUAUGAAACAAGUUUGGUCAAUUGUGGCGGCCUUUAGUUGUUUAAAAAUUCCAUUAUUUUUGUUGUUAGGAAUUAAAAAAACAAACGAAAGUGAUUUCAAAUCAUAUCAGUAGGUAGGACUUGUUUUAAGUAUUGCUUGGUCAAUAAACCUAAUAAGUGUGAUUAAUCUCUCUAGUUUAAUUUAAUCAUCAUUCACAUCAAGUCAUGAUCACUUAUUGGCGAUUUUGUGUUCAUUGGACGGACUAUUUCUCUUUUCUGUUUUCUUAUGUUAAUCCGUGAAUAAUUAACGUCAUCUAGAUGAAUAAUUAAAUAGAACAAUCUUGUUUGCUUCUAACAAUUUUAGUCAAACAAAUAAACCUUGAUUUCAAUUCUUACCUAUCCUUGAAUAUCAGCAUCUAAUCGCGCUUGCAUGUGAUGACUUCCCAAUUUAAAAGUAGUGCUUAUUGGCACACUUAACUGCCUCAACGCGUAUAAGCGUAGUUCUUUGAAGGCUUCUUACCAUAAUAUUUUGAGUUGUUAUCACUUUACCCCCUUCAACUAUAUUACUACUAUCAGUUUACCCCCUAACAUUAUCUUUUAGUCACUUCACUCCCAUAAACAUUUUUAUUGGCCAUAGGAAUUACUUGCUUGUGAAAUUGAGAAAGGAUGAGAAAUUGAAUUGAUCUAAUCAAAAUUAUGGUAUAAUUUACUUGAUAUUUUGAGUGCUUGAGCGUAAUUAAAUGAUUGCAUAAUGGUCAUUUACCUUGUUUUGAGAAAAUGAAUUUGAAUUAUGCACAUAUGUUUAAUUUCAAAGUGUUGGUUUGUAAUUCUUAAUUGAUUGAAGACAAACAAUAGUUCAAGUGUGGAAGAAUUUCAUAAGUGUGCAUUUUAUGUAUUUUAAAUGUGUUUUUUUAAUUUAGUUUUGAUAUGUUUUAUCCAUUUUUUAUAGGUAAUGAAUCGGUUUCUAGUGAAAGUUUGCAUUUUAUGGUUUAAGUGUGAAAAUUACAUUUCUAUGGACUAAAAGGGUGAAGACUUCAUAUUUUUGUAGAAUUCAAGAAUUCAAUCAUAAAUUAGAAUGAUAUGAGAAGAUAUUUGAAUGAUUGUUGAUUAUUUGAAGGGAUUUAAAGAGAAUAUAAAGUGUAAAAUGUUCAAAAGAGGAAAUACAAUCAAGUAUAAAAGAAAGGGAGUUUGACAGCUUCGAUAUCUAUUCGUAUUUCAACUAUAUCUCGAGUUAUAAGUUUUGGAUUAAGGUAAUUCUUGAAUCAUUUUAAAUCAAACACAUAGCUCUACAUUUCUUAUGAAGAUAUCGAAAUCCAGUUCAUGAGUCUUCCUAGUCAAAAUGUCAAAAUACAGUUGGUCAUUUUUUGUUGUUGAAAGCUGAAAUGGGGUUCUGACUAGGCAAGGGUAAUUUGGUGAUUUAUCAGUCUACAGACUUCCAAAUCAAAUGAUUCUUAAAGUAUUGGAAAGUUAACUCAAAGUAAUAUAACUUUUAUAUUUUUCACAAGAGUUAGUUAAACCUCUUUCAUCAAAAAAAAUAUUAGUGGAAUUUUGUGCACAAACAGAGCAAAUUUGAAGACUGACCAGAAGGCAAAACGUGGGCCAAAUACACGACCUCAACCCAUGUUUGCUGAGGUCAUGUAUUCUUCAACUGUAGUUACAACUUGUAUUCUAUUCACACAAACUUUUUGACCAAUUUGUCUGCAAAAAUUUCUGGCUAGAUAUGAGCAGGCAAGCAUAGAGACUUUAAGAAACAUUUUUUGGUGAUUUCGAGAGACAAUUUUGCCAACUAGAAACAACUCUCUUUGACCUUGAGUUCUCUAUAAAUAGAGGCCUUUGGGGAGCUAGUUUAAUAGCUUUGGAAGGCUAGAAAUGCUACCAAAAAUGUAGUUUUCAAUAGUUUUUCUUAGUUUAUUAGUUUAAUUCAUUACUAUAGUAUAAUUAAUAUAGUUUUUUCAUCUUGUACUUGCAGCUAGAUUUGGAUGAAGAUUUGAGAAGCAAAGAUAGAGAGUUGAAACUCAUGUGACAAGGGUGACUUCUCUUCUACCACUUUCUCUUUUGUAUUUGAGUUCAUGUUUGACUAUAUACAAGUGCGGUCUUUUCUUUCAUGUUCUUCAUGUUUGCUAAAGUUUAUGCCUAGAAUUAUGAAUGAACUUUCUAUAACUUGUUAGUGAUGUUUAAUUGGUAAUUCAAUAAUAUUAUUUUGAACAAGUUGUUUGUAACUUUUACUUUUCUAAUCAUGAUUAACCAAUCAUUAAUUGUAAUAAUAUUAAGGUAUAAAAUUUGCAAUGAGAAUUGGGAUUUAACACUAAUUUAAGGAAGUGAUAAAUCUAGGGAGUUCACUCACGAGAGUAGAGGUGCAUCUAUGUGGGUUUAGUAACUUAUUUCAUGUAAUUUCAUAAAAGGAAUGAUCUUAUAGCUAUUUUCAUAACCAUGAGAGAAGGUAUGAUUUAGUUACAAGUAUAGUUGAUUCUUUACAAGAGUAGGUUUCAUAUCAUAUAUUUUACAUGUUUGAAGUGUGUUUUAUUAAUUAGUUUUGGUGUGUUUUGAUUGUUUUUAUAGCUAUAAACUAAGCUUUUAGUCAAGUUUGCAUUUCAUGGUUUAAGUGUGAAAGGUUACACUUUUAUGGAUAAAAGUGGUGAAAUUUCAUAUUUUUGUAGGUUUAAUGAUUCAAUCAUCAGUUGGAAUGAGUUUAGAAGAUAAAUGAAUGAUUGUUGAUGAUUUUAAAGUGAUUUAAAGAGAAUAUGAAGUGUAAAGAGGAAAUGCAAUCAAGAAUAAAAGAGGAAAAGUUAGACAGUUUUGACAUUUGUUUGUAUUUUAGUUAUAUCUUGAACUACACGCAUCAGAUUGAGAUGAUGUUUGAGCUAUUUCGAAGAUAACACAUAGCUCUACAUUUCUUAUGAAACAUCUAAAACCAUUUCAUGAGUUUUCCUAGUUAAAAUGUUGAAAUACAGUUAGUCAUUUCUUUUGUCGAAAGUUAAAAUAGAGUUGUGAUCAGUGAAGGGUAUUUUGGUGAUUUCAUAGUCUACAUAACUCCAAAUUGGAUGACUUAAAGCAUUGGAAAGUUAACGCAAAGGCCUGCAACUUUCUUGGUUUGGAAAAGGACUAGUUCAGGCUCCAUCAUUAAGAAAAUAUCAAUUAAAUUGGUGUUAAAUUCACAGAAAUGAAAACGUAAGUUCUAAAUACACGAGCUCAAGUUACAUAUUCAUGAGGUCACGUAUUCUCCCCUAUUUUCUGCAACUUGCACAUCAAUUUGUUCUAUAUUCAUAUAACUUUUUUAACUCAUCUACAACUCAAAAUUUCAUCUGUAAAGAAGAGUAAAAAUUUGGAGAAACAACUUUUGAUGAUUCUAAGAGCCAACUAGCACUAACUUUAACAUUAUUACUUGGAAGUUUAAUCCUCUAUAUAUAGGGGCCUUGGAGAGCGUAUUUGACAACUUUGGAGGACUAGUGACACUAUCAAAAUGUAAUCUCUUCUUCAUUAAUUUUUCUUAGUUUAUUAGUAUACUAUAGUUAGUAUAGUUUUUCCAUCUUGUAUUUGUAGUUAGAUUUGGAUGAAAAUUUGAGGAACAACAAUGGAGAGUUGGAAGUCACGUGACAAGGGUAACCUCUUUCCUAUCACGUUCUCUUUUGUAUUUGAUUUCAUAUUUAAUCAUAAUACAAGUUUGGAUUUUGUUUUCAUGUUCUUCAUGUUUUGCUAAAAUUUAUGCUUACAGUUAUGGAUGAAUUUUCUAUAUUUUAUUUGUGAUAUUUACUUGGUUAUUUGAUAAUAUUAUUUUAAACAAGUUAUUUAUCACUUUGUUUCUCUAAUCGUGAUUAAUUGGCCAUUAAUUGUGAUAAUCUUAAGUUGUUAAACUUGCAAUGAGAAUUGGGAUUUAACACUAGUUCAAGGAAAUGCUAAACUUAGGGAGUUUACUCAUGAUAGUUGAGAUGCACUUAUGUGGAUUUAGUGACUUAUUUCAUGUAAUUUCAUAAAAAGAAUUAAUUUGUACUUAAUUUCAUAAUACGAGAAUAGGUAUGGUUUAGUUACAAGUAUAGUUGAUUUACUACGAGAGUAAGUUUCAUAUAUAUUAAAAAAUUAUGUCAUAACUAGUCAAGAUAAUUACAUUCAAUUAACCGGUAAUUUCAUUUGCAAGAGUAGAGAAGAAUUCCAUAACCGUAUUAGCUUUCUAUUAUUAUUUUAUUACUUUUAUUUUAUAUUUGUUAUGUACAUUUAAUUUUUUUGUAUUUGUGGUAGUCUAAAUAAUAAAGAAAUUUGAAAACCAUUGGUAAUUGACAGUUUUCUCUGUGAGUUCAACCCUUAAUACCCUAUACUCAAUUUCAACUCGUAAACUUGUGAAAAAUUGCAUGUAGGAUAUUUAAAAUUUUAUAAAUAUAAAACUUGACUGUAGAGUAAACUUGAUUGUUAUAUGCAUACCCCGUGCUUAUUAAUAUAUAUGAGGAAAUCAUGCCACAACUAAUUAAGAUAAUAGCAUUCAAUUAAUCGAUAAUUUUAUUCAUAAGAGUAGCAAGGAAUUCUAUACGUUAGGAGUUUAUUAUUAUUAUUUUUAUAACUUUUAUCUUAUAUUUUUAGUGUAAAUUUAAUCUCUUACACUCGUCAUAAUUUAAAUAAUAAAGAAGUUCAAAAUCAUCAGUAAUUGACACUCUUUCCUGUGGGAUCGAUAUCUUAUAUCUCUCAUGCUCGAUAAACGAUUUGUAUACUUGCAGAAAAUGGGGUAUUUUAGAUUUUAUUAAAAUUUGGUGCAUGGUAGAAUCUCGUCACUUUUAUUAAAACUAGUCCCAUAUCAUCUAUAUAAAGAAAAAUGACGACACAAUACUCUUGAGUGAACUUAGCAUUAAUGAACUUAUCAGUAUUAUUGUACUAAAUCCACUCGAGAGCAAUAUAGAUUCAAAUUUCUAAUGCCAUGUGUUUAGGUGCUUGUUUCAAGCCACAUAAUGAUUUAAUUUAGCUUGUAUACUUUCUUUUCAUUUUCAAGCAUAACAAACCUUUUAGGUUGUUUCAUAUGCAAUCUUCAUCCAAAUCACCAUUUAAAAAUGCUGUUUCAAUAUUCAUUUGAUGUACAAAAAAUUGUACAAUAAAAUUAGGGACAAUAGCACUCUAAUGGAAGUUAUUCUUGUAAUUCGUACAUAUAUUUCAAAAUAGUCUAUUUCUUCCUUUGUUUAAAUUCUUUAACUACUAACUUUGCUUUAAAGGUCAGUAAAGAUCUAUUCGUGGCAUAUUUUCUUCUAAAUACCCACUUAUAAUCUAUUGGUUUUGAAUAUUUAGGUAAAUCAACUAGAAAUUAAGUAUUGUUAGACAAUAAUUAGUCCAUUUAAUCAUUUACCACUUCUCUCCUAAAAGAAGCAUCUCUUGAUGACAUAAUUACACUAAAUAUUUUAGAAUCAUUUUCUACAUUCAGCAAGAUUGGAAUCUUAUUUUGUAGAGAUUCCCUAUUGCUUUCAACUAAGAAAACAAUAGCUCAUGAAGAUAUGAAGUAUGAGAAUAGAUGCUUUUCUUUCCUUGGUCUUUGACAUCUUUUAAUUUCAAUAGGAGCGCCACUUACCUUUCCUUAUUACUUGAAAAAAAAAUCAAUAUUUUGGAGUUGUUAUAAACCAUUAGUAGGAUCCACAACAGGCUCUAAAUCUUUGAAAAACUUAUUCUCAAAAUUUGCAAUUCUCUUGAUUUAACUAUAAUAUUAAAAUCAAGGUCAACCAACCUAUAAGUUUUAGAAUUUUCUGCACAGCCUACAAACGUACCGACAAUUUUAGCCACACCUUUGGUCACAUCUGUAGCAUAUGUUAGCCAACCUGCAACUUGACUCUUCAGUCACAUUUCUUAUUGGCUAAAACAACAUAGCUUCGGAUAAGAAAUUCUGAUAGGAAUGUCAAUUUUAGGAUUUGCAGCUCAAGAUGUAGGCCAUUUUGGUUCAAAACAGAAUUGAUUUAGCAAUACAGGGAGUUGAGAAAAAGUCAAAGAGUGCAAUAGAUGCAAAUUUUACUGACGUAAAAUGUUACUACGUGAAACUUAUCAAAUGAUGGUCCAAACUUGUCCUCAUAGUAUUCAUAAGGAAGUAAUGUUAGCAAAAGUCAAUCGAAAUUUCAUAAAUUUGUCCUUGUGAUUCUUUCAGAAAUGAAAGUGAUGAUCAAAGCUAAAUGUUAACGGAAGAGUAAGAUGAUAAUCUUACCUCUCUUUCUAAAAUGAUGUCCUAAACUAGAGUUUGGCAAACUAAUCCAAAGGAAAAAUGCAAAAUUUAUAUUCAUGUACUAACAUUCAUAAAUUUUCUGAUUGACUUCUUUUAGCUGACUGAUUUCUCCUGAUAGACUAAAAUCUUUGGGCCAAACAAAAAUCAGAGAAGGACAACCGUUUUCAGAAAGAAGCGCGCAGGUAAUGGAUGUCAAUGUCUUUUUAGUGUUGGCAAGUAAUUUCCUUCUUCCUUCAAUUCUUAAAGUAAUUUAUCAACUUCCAUUAAGUGGGCAUGCUGAAACAUGCUCAUCUAACCUAACAAGCAUAUACUUUGUGGUAGAGUACCUCUAAUUAGGUGAAACCAUAUUGGAGAACUUCACGUGAAACAUUUAUCAUUGAUCUCCCACCUUCAUUAGUCUUCCGAAAUGUUACAUAUUCCAAGUGGUUUCUUAAUAAUUAUAAAUUAUUUUUAGAUUUGCUUCUCUUUCUUAGCUAAAACAUAACAGAUAGAAUGCUACAAUAACAAAACCUGUUUAUUGAUCAUUCAAACUGCAAUUUUUUGGAUUGUGACUAUUUAUCUUGAAGUAGACAUGUCAAAAUAAUUUAGUUAAGAACCAAGAAGGUACCUGGUACUUAGAAGGACUAACUGUUAGCACAGUUGUAUAAUGAGUCUCUCUUGUUCUUGAGUGGAAAGGUAUAACCUAUUGUCCAAUUUACAAAGGCCUUGCAAGAUCUGGCGGGAACCUUUGAACGAGGAUGUAGAAAUUCUUGCCGCUGCAAUUGCAGCACCAAAACUUUGAACUAUUUCCAUCCAAAUGAACGACUGACACUGCAAUCGCAUGCUUCGUUUAUGUCAUCCAAAUGAUCACCAAUGCUGUCUACAAUGUCUAACUUCUUUCCAUCAAAUCUUGUCACCUCUGGAAUUAAAGUAUCAGUACGCCCAGUUUUCUUCAAGCAAGUCUUGUACCUUGAUAGCUCUCCAGUACCAGCUACCAUGCUCUUCUCUAAUUCUUCUCAAUCCAUACUACUUUCUACAAGCCUGGCACAAGCCACUCUGUUUUCAGCAUGCUACAAGGAGAAAAGGUUCAAUAUUUGAUUUAUUUUGUUAAAUACUUCCAGAAAAUAGAUAAAAAACAAAAAUGAAAAGCCAUUGAAACAGGCCAAUAGACAUGCAGUCAACAUUUUUUACCUUCAUUUCCAUAUUCUGAGCAAUAUAUGGCAUUCUGGCGGGAAAAAUCACAGAUAACUACCUUCCAUCUUCAAAAACUGACUGAUAAGUGAAAAUAACUCCUCCCUCUUGACAUUCUCAUAAGAACAACACGGGAACGUUGGUGUUCUUUGUCCAAAAAGCAUGAUCUCUACUUCCUAAACAAAUUCUGGAAAAAAAAAAACAUAAUAUUACGUCACAAUGCUACUUCAGUUAUGACAUUAAGUAGAAGCAUGAGCCACGGAAAGGUUUGGUCUGGUAACUAGUGCAACAAUUUAUCACUCAAAAUCCUAAAGAGCAAAAACCAAGUUAUAUUCCAUCGAUUAAGCCAUAAAGAACACUUACUAGUGCAGAUACCACCCUACAUUUAGGCCCAAUUCCCCUGUACUUCUAGUAAGUUGGGUGGAGAAAUUUCCAAACCACAUACCUCCUCAUCUUUCUUCAAAAAUGAUUCGAAACCACAACCUGAUGUUGCAGUUGGAGAAUGCGAAAAGUGCAAUAAGAUGCUCUAGAGGUUCCAGGCUGACUCUGCCUUAAGCAAACUUUUGAGCCUUUCACAAUGUUUCGGCGCUAUCACUGCUUGCUGCUUCAUUGACACUUGUGGCCUGCAAGGCCAUAAUAUUAUCAAUCCAAUUCACAAAAUAGAAAAGUAGCUAGUUAUAGUAUCUGAAUUUUAAAAAUUUUAAAAGAUGAUAAGAAUUUAUAGUUUUAGCAGCAGCCUAGUUCCUCUGCAAACAAUUUCAACUUAAUCGACAUUGAGCUAAUUUUACGGCAAUCAUAAUUCAGAGUCUUAAAAAAAAAAAGAACAUACCCCAUUGAAGCUGAAUGUUUACGCUUGCAAUGUUAGUAAAUUUUGUUGACAAACAGUCAGCAAGUUCAUAUAUAAUAGUAUAUUGUACCUUGUUAUUCAUCCUUUUAAUGGUUCAGAAAAGCAGAUGAAAUCCACAAUUUUUGUUGUCUUUGAAUUUGCUCGUAACUCUACUUUGUUAAUGACAUGAAUCAGCUUAAAAAUUGAAAGAGAGAGUAAUCUUCGCCAGAAGAAGUAGAGGAAUAGAUAUUUACAGAGAAAAAGAGUGAGAAACAAAUACGGAUAGAAUAAGAUGGUGAAGAACAGCGAUAUCCAAUAAUGAGAAGCUAUUAAUCAAAAUUUUGCAGUGAAAUCUUACCCGAUGGCUCGGAAAGAUGACUUUUAAUCAAUUUCAAGCUCUUGAAUAUUAGAGAUCUUGGGCCACUCGGAGCCGCUUUGAGGAGUGCAUGUUUCGGUUAAUAGAGGACAAUUACCAAUUUCCAGACGUCUUAAUUUGAGGCGUUCCAUGGCAGCCAUGGAGGGUAAAUAUUCAAGCUUUUCGCAACCGAAUAGGAUUAGCUCAUCAAGAGACGCAAGGUUCCCAAGCCAAUCUGGUAAAGCUUCGAUUGCUCCGAAGUCACGUAGAGAUAGUGAUGUGAUGGUAGUCAAGUCUUGAAGCUGAUGUGGCAGAGAUUUCAUGUCAGGCAUUCCACGUAAAGACAUGUGUCGGAGUGUUGAUGAAGAUGCUAAUCCAGCCCAAUCAAAUUCGAUUACAGAGUAAUCCGAGAAGGGGCCAAUCUCCACAUUCCUUAAGCUGGUAAGAUAGCCAAAUCCACUAGGCAUCUCAGCAAUCAAGUUGGGACACCACCAUAACGAGAAGCUCUCGAGAGAAGGGUUCGUCGCAAAUCAAGGGGAAAGAUAGACGUACACGACUCGAACAUCUCCACUGGUAAUCUUGUGAAUGAUUCGCACAUAUCGACAGUAAAUUCCUCAAGAGACUUAAGGAGGCUUUUCUGUCCAAAUGAAUUUUUAGGAUUUGGAUAUCCAAAUGAAUCAAUUCUCGGGCAACCCUGUAUCUCCAAGUGCUCUAAAGCUUGAAAUUGAUAAAGAUCUUCUGGCAACUCAUUCCUCUUAAUGUUGUUAUAUUAUUGACAAACCUCAAUUCUACACUCUGAAGAGUUGGAAAAAGACAGAGUCGCUCAAGCAUGUCAGUGGGUAGACUGUCACAGCCAUCAAUACUCAAGCUGCUCUCUGGUCGUCUCACUAAUUUCAGAGACUCGAUGCGGUGAUAACUACCACCACUUAAUUUAAGGGACGAGAGAUUGGCUAUAUUGCUCAAAACCUUUUCUGCCAGCGAAACAUGGCAAUUCUUUUUUAUUUUCAAUACAUCAAGACUUGGGAAACGACUUGGAGUUGGAAUGGUGGUCAGCUGGGGGCAAUUACUAAUAGACAACUUUUCAAGCACGGGAAACACAUCCAUCACAUGUACUUCACCUGCGGUUGACAUCAUCUCGGUGCGUCCUUCCACUCUUUCAAAUUUUUCAUGCUUUCAAGAGAGAGUUUUUUAAGGGCUGGAAAGAAUGUUUGUCUGCUAAUAGUGCUUGAACCUCCUGAUCCGCCGUCCUCCUCAGCACUUGUACUGUAGAAUGAAAGCCCAAUGCUUCUUAUGUUUUCCAGUCCAGUCAGAUAUAGAUGUUGGAGGAUGACAGCUGUCCUAGGGUGGGGAGUUCUCUGCAUCUUGUGCAAUCCUUCACCCGCAACUCCACCAGUGAUGUCAAUGUCAAAUUCAUGAACCAUUGUGGGAACUGAUCACCCAUGAACUUCAAAAUUUGUAACUCUUUUAAAUUUGGGUGAGGUUGGAGGCCUUCCAACACAUCUUCAUCACAAUUAACACUUCCCGAUACCUAUUGCACCACUCAUAUACCAACCGAUGCAGAUUUGGCUUUUUAGAUAGGUUUGCUAGUUCAGCAUCAUCUUUGCCAUUUACUAAUUCAAGAUUUCUGAUCUCCAAGGAGCCUUUAAGAUCUUGCAAGGUUCCAAGCUCUUGGAUACCACGACCUUCCUCUUGACGACCAAUGUUAAAGAACUCUAACUUUUGAAGACAAGUCCAUCGUCCAAUCCCGGAUGGCAUUUGGAUUUCUCGUCUUGUAUAAUUAUUAUUAUUAUAGUGAAGAUGUCUCAUGCUAAUCAAAUUGCUCAUCUCCUUUGGAAAACCUUCUUCAAGCAUGCCAAUUCUCAGUGUUUGCAAACAGUAAAGUUUGCAAAGAGAUUCUGGCAAAGUUCUAAUCCAAGAACCUGAAAUGUCAAGUAAGUGUAAAUGGAUUAGUUUGCCAACGGAGGUCGGCAACUCUUUGACAUCUGCUCCAAACAAUUUUAGGACAUGCAAAUAUUUGAACUUUGAUAACAUAUCAUCAGCUAUGCCACCCUCCAGAAAUAAUGUGCGAAGUGAUGAUUUUUCACUGAUGGUUUCCACCAUUCUUUCGGAUGAGUAUACUGCAAGGUAACGGUCCUGAUUGCUGCUGUUACGAUUCAAAAUUGAUUUUGCAAAAUCAUGCACAAGAUCAUGCAUUUUAUACCAUGUUCCCCUCCAAUCUCUUACUUCUUCCAAUAAGGAAGUUUGCAGCAAAAUUCUCAAUACUCAUAUCCUAUUUUCUCCAUCAUUCUUUCAUUUUGGAAUCCGGUCGAAGAAAGCCUUCAGCCAUCCAAAGCUCAACUAGUCGAUCUUGUUCCAAUUCAGUAUCUUGAUGAAAAAUUGAGCAAUAUGCAAAACAUUUCUUAACCGGUGCAGGUGACAGAUGAUCAAAACUCACCUUAACUAUUUGCUCAAUCCCACCCUGAUCUCCAUUCAAGAGACUCUCCUCCAAAAUAGAUAGCCAGUCCUCUUUUCUCUUUUUAGAUAACAAACCUCCGAUUAACUUUGCUGCCAGAGGAAGACCGUCACAUCUUCUUAAAACUUGGCGCCUCAUGUCUUCCAAUUCUUUUGGUACUUCUUCCCCUAAAGUUGCCCAUUUUUUAAUGAUAGACCAGCAAUCAUCAUUGCAGAGCUUUCCUAGCUCAUGGCGAGUAAAAUUGAUCUGCGGAUGUCUAGACAGAAUAAUUGCCACUUCUUGCAGACGAGUGGUAACAAGACACCAGCUCCCUUUCUUCGCAUUGAGUCCCGCCAAUGUGCUGAAAAAGUCAUUCAACAAUACUUCUUGAUCAUUCCACAAAUCAUCAAGAACAAGGAAAUAUUUUUUUUCCUUGAGUUCAUCUUGAAUUUUUUGAACUAUUACCUCCCUACGAUCCCUUCAACCUUUCCUUCUAUCAACGAUUCUAGAAUCAUUUUGAAGACCUCCUCGAUUCUAUCUACUUUUUCAGCCACACAAACCCAAAUUUUUUUUGUCAAAAUGCUUAUGAAUCUGUGAUUUGUUGUAAACGGCUUUAGCUAGAGUUGUUUUUCCUAAACCACCCAUGCCAGUUAUGGGAAUAACUGAAAUAACACUUUCAGUUUCGGUCAACAACUUCUUAACGAUUUCUGAUUCAUCCUCGUCUCUUCCUAGGACAUCUCUUCGAACAAUAGUAGAGGAGAAAUUUCUAAGUUUGUGAUGAAUUUUAAAAAAAUUCUACAAAAGGGGUGAUUGUGGCGAGGAAUUCUGUCGGGGGUCUUCGCAUUCGUGAAAUGCGAGCUCAGGAGAGCUCGCAUUUCACGAAUGCGAGCUCUGUUGAGAGCUCGCAUUCCUGGAAUGCGAGCUCUCAUUUGCUCGCAUUACAGAGAUGCAAAUUUUUUUGCUUUUUUUUUUUGGAGGCAGAGAUUUAUAUUUUUGUAUUAAAACAAAAAAGGAUUUUGACAAUCAGUGAUUCCGGAAAUGGGCUGUACCAUCCUGUCAGUAGGUUCCUUGUUUCUUAUGACAAAAUUCAAGCCUGAACUGGAUGUCGGAGACGCCCAACGUAUUAAUAGUUCAUUUCCUGUUGAGAUGUUCCAUGAAGCUUGCCACUCCUCAGGUGGUUCUUGAGGUGUUGCAGUGCCUACAACUUUCUCUGCACUAGAUGACAAUUGCAUGUAAAAUAAGCACGGAGGUUGAGAAGGAAACAGCAUAACUGAAGAAUCAAAACAGGUGGAAGCAGUGAGAAAGAGCUACAUUAAAGCACAUACCAGGGGCUUUGCCGAUCGAACUACAAACGUAGGACCAAGAACCUUCACGAAUCUCUAUGAUCCUGUCCUCCCAUUUAACAGCUGAAGGUGUUUCGCCUCCUCUCCUCCAAAAUCCUCCUCCCAUCCUGGAUCAUUCUUAAUCAUUUGAAACUCAGCAUACUGAAUAAAGCAGACACUAAUCACUGAGCUCGCAUUUCCGGAAUGCGAGCUCGAAUUGAGCUCGCAUUCCCGAAUGCGAGCUCAGUGAGCUCGCAUUUUCAGAAUGCGAGCUCAGUGAGUUCGCAUUCUCAAAAUGCGAAGACCCCCAUUUACAGAAACUCCUCCAGGAAACGCCCUCGUUGUAGAAUUCUUUUUUUUUUUCAUCAUAAACUAAGAAUUCACCCAAUAGUAGAGUCGGUCUGUCGGCUUGUUGUGGCUCCAGCAGCAACAGUAGCGAAUGCUUCUUCAACUUGGUGCUUGUAGGCCAGUCCCAAACCUUCUGCAUCCCGAUGGAUCCUUUGAAGGUUCGUGUUGAUCUCCCUGAUCAUUGAACCCAACCCAACGAAAACCAAUUUUAUUAAAGAAUGAAAAGAAGAACAGUACCUUCUUUUUCGUGAGUUGAUUUUGAUACUUCACCUUCCGACGAAGAUUUUCAUAGUUGAGCUCGUCCAGCACAUUGUCGGCUUUGAAAACCUCUUCUUCCAGCUGCUUGAGCCAAUUUUGCACCACUGGGCUAUGCUUGUCCUCGUCGGCACCAGCCAAGAAGCCUCGGAUCAUUGCAGCAGAUUUGUCGAGUCUCACCAGUUCCUCUGGGAAUUCACGAGCCAGAUUAACAUGAUCAGCGGCUAGGGAAACAACCGUCUGCAAUGCAACCUGAAUAGUAGCACUAACAGCAGCAUCAGCCAUUUUUUCUCACUUGGGAUUGGAAGUAGGAUGAAAGUGUUCUGCAAUGGUGAUGGGGGGAUGCUUUCUGCGAUGAGACAAGGAAGGAAGGGUUCAACUUCAGCAGCUAUCAGAGGGAAUGAAAUUUGCAAGUCGACUUUCAAAUUUGUCCGCCUUUGCAAUAUGCCGGGCUCCACUGCACGCUGUAAAGACACAGCUUUAGACUCUAAAAGACACAAUGGACCACAGCGCCACUCUAAAGACACAUAAAAGCUGUCCGUGAUUUACGGAUCACAGCCUCUGUUAUCAAAGGAAGUUGCAGACAAUUGCAUGUGUGAGCCAGCCUGCAACUUGACUCUUCGGUCACAUUUCUUAUUGGCUGAAACAGUAGGCUCUCUGAUUCCUCCUAUCACUAAUACUAGGAGGCAUGAACGCGCUUCGCGCGAUAGAAAUAUAAAAUGGCCUGCCCAAUUUUAAACUAAUCAAAAUAAUUUUAAACUAAUCAAAAUAAUAAUUUAUAUAGAAAAGUAUAUUUUUUACUAUAGGUAUUCUAUAAGUCUGAAGUUUUGUUGAUAUUUCUUGGAUGUUUGUCACAAAGCCUCUGGUAAGUGGCAACUGGCAACGUAGUAUAUAAUACAGGGUAAGGAAAGAAAGAGCACCCCACAAGUUUCUGUUGUUUAUGAUUAUAAUUAACAGAACAACAUUUAUAUCUCUGUAGUUUGUUUUCAAGGCAUGACUCUUUAAUAAUUUUCCAAAUUAAGAAUUUUAUUUUUCUUUCAAAAUUUUUUUUCUAUGUCUAUUACAUCUAAACUAUUAAUUUGGUAAUCAAUUAUUCUUAUUUAGUAGUGAGAGGUAAACAAUAACAGGCUUUAAAAAAUUAUAGGGAAAAUGACCGGUUUCAUCCCUUACAUUUCACAAAAUUAUUCUUUUCGUCCCUCACUUUUAAAACGAAGCAAUUUCAUCCUUGACAUUUAAAAACUGAAGUUAUUACAUCCCUGAACCCAAUUUUCAAUGUGAAUCAAACCAUCUAUCAACCUAAUUACAAAUUUUGGGGAUAUAAUUGGUAGAUCACUUGACUAACUCAACUUGAUAUUCACGUGAAAUUUAAUAAAACCAAAAAUAAAAAAUAAAAAUUAUAACAUAACAAAUAAGAAUUAAUCUUCCUACAUUGUCAUUGUAUACAUUGAUGGGUUUAUGUACCUGCCAUAUCAUUCAAUUUAAAUUUAAACACCAAAUUUUAUAUUUAUGAUAUACAUGUAGACUCACAAGCGUAUAUACUAACGCUACAUGAAAGAUUUAUCCCAAAAAGAAAUCCUAUUAUUCCAAGACAAAGAAUGACCUUUUAUGUUAUACUUUUUAUUUUUUUUGGUUCAAUAAAUGUCAUGUGAAUAUGAUCUAUCAAUUCUAUCUCCGAAAUUUAUUACUGGGUUAUUGGAUGGUUUGAUUUAAAUUGACAAUUAGGUUCAGGGAUGUAAUAGGUUUAAUUUUUAAAUGUCAGGGACCAAAUUGCUUCAUUUUAAAAGUGAGGGACGAAAAGAAUAUUUUUGUGAAAUGCAAGGGAUGAAAUAGGUCAUUUUUCCAAAAUUAUAAAUUAAUUUUAAUAUUGUCAUUCUAUCAAAUAUUUAUCUUUUUUUCAUACGUCUUUGUUAGCUUCCAUUUUGAUUUUGAGUGUCAUUAAUAGGUGGUAUAGAAUUGCAGUAUUUCUUAAGUCCUAACAACACUUCCUUUUAAAACUAAACCGUAUUAACAAAAAAAGUAAAGAUAAAAAAAUAGUAUACUUAACAACUCUCUUCAAUUUCAAACAAAAUAUAUAUUAACUAAGUAUUGGUAUUUUUAGGCAAUUUAACUUCAGUUUUAUUACGGUUCUUUCUAAUGAAAGAGAAUAAAAUUAUUACUAAACAGUAAAGACAAAAUUCCAAUUCCAUGAAAACAAAAAGAGUUUUGAUUCGAUUUUUUCUAAAUAAUUCUAACUAAUAUAAUGAAAAAUUAUUACCAGACAAGAAACACAAAAUUCCAAUUCCAUGUUAAAAAAAACAUUUUUUGAUUCUAUACAAAUCGUAGGAAAAAAAAUUGUAAAUGACAAAGCUAUUGUAUUACAAACCAAUUGUUUCUAUCUUGAGUUUUACGAGCCUUUAAUUCAUAACUAAGUGUUAUAAUUCAAAUGCUUUACAAAUGGUUGAAACAAAGCAAACAAUAACUAUUUAAUAGUUAUAAUCAGUAAUACCUAAAACAUAUUAAUAUACAACAAAAAAAAUUAUAUACAAUAUUAUAAUUCAUUAAUACAUACAAGAUCAAAUGUCAUCAGGUAUAAGUAAAUGCAAUUACAUACGAUAUAAAUCAAAGUCUACCUAAUCUAACCUUUUUUUAAAAUUAAGAAACAAAAUUAUCAAUAAGAGACAAACAAAUACAAAAUAUCAUUUUUUUAUUUUAAUUAAUAUACAUAUUUAAUAUACGUAGACAGAGCAAAAUUAUAAUGAAAUGAACAAAUUUAUCUCUCAUUUGUAUAUAAUUAUUUAGAACUUGGCAUAAACAAGUGAUUGCAACCAAUAAUUUAGGAAUAAUUAAUUAAUUUUGUUAUCAAAGUGGAUAGAGGGACCAUUAAAUUUUUUUUAAAAAAAGAAAUUUGUUAUAUUGGAAAUUCAGAACCAAAGACUGUAAAAAUGUCGUAGUACUUCAUGGAAUCUACAAAGACAACACAUGCCUUGGCGGCACUACUAAACAAAGCAGAAGACGGAUUCUGGGACCUCAUGAAUUGUCCUUUAUUCCUUGUAACGAAGUAAUGGUAGUAAAAAUAAUCCUUUCAUCAUGGCUGUUGCUCUUAUCUUCUCAGCGAAUUUUCGUAUUUGGAGUUUGGAGGCCAGAGAAGCUUGUACAAUAAUAACUUAGCCAAUAAUGAAUUCCUAGUCUGUACACACUGUAUAUAGUGAAUGGAUAGGUUCUGAUGGUUUAGACAAUCAAAUAAUCAGAAAUAAGAAAGAAAAACAGCUUAGAUCCGUACUCUAAUGGUCUCUAAAGCAGUUCACAAACAGAUACAAAUUUCUGGAUCCAGUCCUCGCAGCUUAAAGCAAGCAAGGGAUUUACAAGCAGCUGACUACAUCAAUGAUAAAUGAUUUAUGAGCACAACAUUUUUUAAUACCUUCAGCAAGGUACUUUUCUGACAUUUUCAUGAAGCUAAUAAGUCUAACUGGUCAAUCAAAAUACAUCGUAUAAGAAAUUAAGAUUCUACCUACUGCGCUGACUGUACAAAUAUACAGAGUGAUAUAAAGCCAUCCAGCCUAAAUCUUCCACUCCUCUUCUGAUCAAAACUCUACAAAUUACAAUUGAAAAGGAAAAAAUUAGUCAGAGCACAUAAAGCACAAGUAAACUCUAGGUAAAAAUUAGUCAGAGCACAUCAAGUGCAAGUUGGCUCCGAAACCUCAGAUCAUUAAAACACAAAUCAUGAUAAGUGUUCAGAAACUGGAGAUUUAGAUAACAAGUCAAAUCAGUUGAGUGUCAAAGUGUGAGAUCAUUAAGACACAAAUCGGUUGAGUGUCAAAUCAUUGAAACACACACUGUUCAGAUCAUUAAAAAACACAAAUCAGUUGAGCAUCAGAGUACUUCAAAGAUAACAAGUUUGCUAUAUGCAUAUAAAUCCUCACCGUUCUAAGAGAAACUGGAUAUUGUAUAUAAAAUAGAAGGUAACAUACAUGAAGUUUGCUCAAUCUCCAUCUUAAUUAGCCUUUUUCUUUUUGGGAGGGGAGGGUGCAGUUCAGAUCACCUCAUGAGUAAAUAAAAGAAUAUCAUCAGAACUCAAACAUUUAUCCAAUUGUAUUGUGAAACUUACACCUAACAAUCAUAGUAAACAGUACUAUAACCUUGUAGACAUCGUCUGGAACAAGAUAUCCACGGCCCCUGCAGGUAAACAGAUAAAAUAUCAUGAUUAGCCCUUGGGUCAGAGCAUAUAAGAGGAGGUACCUCAAACUGUGAAACUUAAACAUUCCUUUUCUUAUGAUGACAGAAAUUAGAGAAAGAAAAAAGAAAUAAGUAAUGAGCUUGUAGAUAUACAUUGGGAAAAUGUUACCUAAUUCUGCAAAUUAAAAGAAAACCAGAUAAAAAAAUAUAUUUAGAGAAAAAUCUUACAAGCAGUAAUUUGAACUUCGACUCGCCAUCACAACAGUCAUCUCCGCAUUGUACACCUCGUUGUUGCUGAAAAUUCAAAUAGAGAUAUAUUAUAUAUUAUUUGUACUGUUUAGAUGAAAUCAAAUAGAUAUACACAUGAAUUUAAAAAAAAAAAAAACUAUUCGUACACGUGGUCAAUGAGAGAUGAAAAAAUUCAUUUUAUGAAAUGUGAGGGACGAAACAAUUUAUUUUGUGAAAUGUAAGGAACUAUAGAUGGAUUAUGUAAAUUUGUUUUGACAAUUUUGUCUCUAAAAAAUGAUCAUAUGCAAGGCAGGCAUAUGAUGAAUUCCGACUAAAAACUAGUUAGAAACCUAGAUAAGGACCAAAUUUGACAAAAGUGAAUUUGUAAGGGACAUAAAAGUACACUUUUAAAAAUAAGGGACGAAAAAAGUCAUUUUACAAAUUAUGAGGGACGUUUUGAACGAUUUUUCUAAAUUUAUAUUCAUGUACUAACAUUCAUAAAUUUUCUGAUUGACUUCUUUUAGCUGACUGAUUUCUCCUGAUAGACUAAAAUCUUUGGGCCAAACAAAAAUAUGAAAAGUACAACCGUUUUCAGAAAGAAAUAGGUAAUGAAUGUCAAUAUCUUUUUAGUGUUGGCAAGUAAUUUCCUUCUUCCUUCAAUUCUUAAGAGUAAUUUAUCAACUUCCAUUGAGUGGGCCUGCUGGAACAUGCUCAUCUAACCUAACAAGUGGAUACUUUGUGGCAAAGUACCUCAAUUAGGUGAAACCAUGUUGAAGAACUUCAUGAGAAACAUUUAUCAUUGAUCUCCCACCUUCAUUAGUCUUCUAAAAUGUUACAUAUUUGAAGGGGGUUUCUCAAUAAUUAUAAAUUAUUUUUAGGUUUGCUAGUCUUUCUUAGCUAAAACAAAACAGAUAGAAUGCUACAAUAACAAAACCUGUUUAUUGAUCAUUCAAACUGCAAAUUUUUGGAUUGUGACUAUUUAUCUUAAAGUAGGCAUGUCAAAAUAAUUAAGUUAGCUAAGAACCAAGAUGGUACUUAGGGUUCGUUAUUUUACUAAAACAAAUUCAACACUGAGCCUGGUACCUAGAAUGACUAACUGUUAGCAUAGUUGUACCAUGAGUCUCUCUUGUUCUUGAGUGGAAAAGUAUGACCUAUUGUCCAAUUUACAAAGGCCUUGCAAGAUCUGGCAGGAACCUUUGAACAAGGAUGUAGAAAUUCUUGCAUCUACAAUUGCAGCACCAAAACUUUGAACUUUUGCCAUCCAAAUGAAUGAUUGACACUGCAAUCAGAUGCUUCGUUUAUGUCGUCCAAACGAUCACCAAUGCUGUCUACAAUGUCUAACUUCUUUCCAUCAAAUCUUCCCACCUCUGGAACUAAAGUAUCAGCACGUCUAGUUUUCUUCAAGCAAGUCUUGUAUCUUGAUAGCUCUCUAGUACUAGCUGCCAUGCUCCCCUCUAAUUCUUCUCCAUCCACAUUACUUUCUACAAGCCUGGCACAAGCCACUCUGUUUUCAGCAUGCUACAAGGAGAAAAGGUUCAGUGUUUGAUUUAUUUUGUUAAACACUUCUAGAAAAUGGAUUUAAAAAAAGACAUUGAAAUCGGCCAAUAGACCUGCAAUCAACAUUUUUUACCUUCUGCAUUCUGAGCAAUAUAUGGCAUUCUGGUGGGAAAAACCAAAUAACUACCUUCCAUCUUCAAAAUCUGGCUGAUAAGUGAAAAUAACUUCUCCAUCUUGCCAUUCUCAUAAGAACAACACGGGAACCUUGGUGCCUAAACAAAUUCUGGCAAAAAAAAAUCACAAUAUUACACCGCAGUGCUACUUCAAUUAUGACACCAAAUAGAAACAUGACCCACAGAAAAGUUUGGUCUGGUAACUAGUGCAACAAUUCAUCACUCAAAAUCCUAAAGAGUACAAAUUAAGCUAAAUUCCAUUGGUUAAGCCACAAAGAACACAUACUAGUGCAAAUGCCACCCUACAUUUAGGCACAAUUACAUGACUCAAACAUACUUGCAAACUUGGACCAAUUUUCUUGUACUUCUAGUAAGUUGGGUGGAGACAUUUCCUCCUCAUCUUUCUUCAAAAACGAUUGGAAACCAUAGCCUGAUGUUGCAGUUGGAGAAUAUGAAAAGUGCAAUAAGAUGCUUUAGAGGUUCCCGGCUGACUAAAAAAUGUAGAUAAAAUAUAUACUCUCUCAUACACACACAAAAAUUUAGAUUUCAUAUUCAUUUUAUCAAAAUUAUACAGUAAUAUUUAAAAAUUAAUUCCAUCUAAAGUUUAAAAAGAUAUUGGUAUUAAAUUUUAUAAUGCCAACCUUGAGGAGCAUGAUCUGAUUAAUAAUUACAAAGUAACAAAUACAUAACAUUCCAGUGGUGUAUCAUGCUAGGCUUUGCUUAACAUUGUACUGAUACUAGAAGAGCAACACCUAAUUCCAGGUCGGCUAAAGUCAUAUCUUGGUCCAGUGGAUUGAUAAAAUACAAUUAAACGAGACAGAAUCAGUAUACAAGUAUAUCUUUCUUUUCACUUUUUCUAGAUAUGAAUACCCCUUCCUUGAGAAACAAUAAAUUAAUAAAGAUAUGAACAAAAAAUAAUGAUAAAAAAAAAAGAAUAAAUAAAUAAAACAUAUAUUUCUCUGUUAAUUAAUUAAAACAGACAUUUUACUUGCCGGUGCUGAUAGAGAUGACACUUGUUGAAGUUCCAGACUUUGCUGCAUUGAUAGAACUCGCAAAACGUCUGCAUGCUAAGUACGACCCGCAGCGCCACAGUGGAAACCACGGCCAGACAUUUCCAUGAAGCAUACAAGUCCUCCUCCUACCGUCUAACCGUCAUGACCAAAAGUUUCUUGCUGUAGAAGUUGUUAACUUUGUCAAUGGCAACCUCAAUGUUGGAGUUCUGAUCUGAGCCGGCGUAACAUCUCUUUAUACCAUUGAAUUGAUCAGCAAUUUCAUCAUCCAUGAGAGCACCCUUGAUCACCCCAUUUUGCUUCAGCAGCUUCACGUCUUCUGCAGUGUCUACAAUCCCAUUCAAGGGUUGAUUUACACAUAGCAGCCUCGUAAUAUAUUUUAUGAGAGAGUAUAAAAUCUAAAUAAUAUGCUACUUUAUUGGUUUCAAUGUUGUUUGGAACUGUCAGUGUCAGAAAAAAUUAGUGAAUUUCGUGGACAAAUAGUCAUAUAUAGUAGUGAAUUUUACCAUACUUUUUGAUGGUUCAGAAAAGCAGAUGAAAUUCACAAUUUUUAUUGUCUUUCAAUUUGCUCGUAACACUACUUUGUUAAGUUAAUGACAAGAAUUAGUUUAUAAAUUGAAAGAGAAAGUAAUCCUCACCAGAAGAAGCAAAGAAACAGAUAAUUGUUACAUAGAAAAAGAGUGAGGGACAAAUACGGAUAGAAUAAGAUGGUGAAGAACAGCGAUAUCCAAUAAUGAGAAGCUAUUAAUCAAAAUUUUGCAGUGAAAUCUUACCCGAUGGCUCGGAAAGAUGACUUUUAAUCACUUUUACGCUCCGGAAUAUUAGAGAUCUUGGGCCACUCGGAGCCGCUUUGAGGAGUGCAUCUUUCGGUUAAUAGAGGACAAUACCAAAUUUCCAGACAUCUUAAUUUGAGGCGUUCCAUGGCAUCUACGGAGGGUAAAUAUUCAAGCUUUGGGCAAUUGAAUAGGAUUAGCUCUUCAAGAGAUGCAAGGUUCCCAAGCCAAUCUGAUAAGGCUUCGAUUGCUCCGAAGCCACUUAGAGAUAGUGAUGUGAUGGUAGUCAAGUCUUGAAGCUGAUGUGGCAGAGAUUUCGUGUCAGGCAUCCAUGCAAAGACACGUGUCGGAGUGAUGAUGAAGAUGCUAAUCCAGCCCAAUCAAAUUCGAUUACUGAGUAAUCUGAGAAGGGACCAAUCUCCACUUUCCUUAAGCUCGUAAGAUAGCCAAAUCCACUAGGCAUCUCAGCAAUCAAGUUGGGACACCUCCGUAACGAGAAGCUCUCGAGAGAAGGGGUUCGUCGCAAAUCAAGGGGAAAGGAGACCAGACUGCGGCAAUAGGACAACUUCAGCUCUCGGAGAGACGUACACGACUCGAACAUCUCCACUGGUAAUCUUGUUAAUUCAUGGCACCCAUCGACAGUAAAUUCCUCAAGAGACUUAAGGAGGCCUUUCUGUCCAAUAUUUGGAUAUCCAAAUGAAUUAAUUCUCGGGCAACCCCGUAUCUCCAAGUGCUCUAAAGCUUGAAAUUGAUAAAGAUCUUCUGGCAACUCCCGUAAAUUCUGACAAUGAUAGACUACCAAUCUCUUAAGACAAGCGGCGCAACUCAUUCCUCUUAAUGUUGUUAUAUUAUCGGCAUGCCUCAAUUCUACACUCUGAAGAGUUGGAAAAAGACAGAGUUGCUCAAGCAUGUCAGUGGGUAGACUGUCACAGCUAUCAAUACUCAAGCUGCUCUCUGGUCGUCUCACUAAUUUUAGAGACUCUAUGGGUUGACUACGACCACCACUUAAUUCAAGGGACGAGAGAUUGGCUAUAUUGCUCAAAACAUUUUCUGCCAGCAAAACAUGGCAAUUCUCUUUGAUUUUCAAUACAUCAAGACUUGGGAAACGACUUGGAGUUGGAAUGGUGAUCAGCUGGGAGCAACGCCAAAUAGACAACUUUUCAAGCACGGGAAACACAUCUAUCACAUGUACUUCACCUGCGGUUGACAUCAUCUCGGGUGCGUCCUUCCACUCUUCCAAAUAUUCCAUUCUUUCGAGAGAGAGAAUUUUAAGGGCUGGAAAGAAUGUUUGUCUGCUAAUAGUGAUUGAACCUCCUGAUCCGCAGUCCUCCUCAGCACUUGUACUGUAGAAUGAAAGCCCAAUGCUUCUUAUGUUUUCCAAUCCAGUCAGAUAUAGAUGUUGGAGGGAUGACAGCUGUCCUAGGGUGGGGAGUUCUCUGCAUCUUGUGCAAUUCGCCACACGCAACUCCACCAGUGAUGUCAAAUUCAUGAACCAUUGUGGAAACUGAUCACCCUUAAAAUACCGGAUAUGCAACUCUUUUAAAUUUGGGUGAGGUUGGAGGCCUUCCAACACAUCUUCAUCACAAUUAUCACUUUCUCGAUCCCUAUUGCCCCACUCAAAUACCAACCGAUACAGAUUUGGCUUUUUAGAUAGGUUCGCCAGUUCAGCAUCAUCUUUGCCAUUUACUAAUUCAAGAUUUCUGAUCUCCAAGGAGCCUGUAAGAUCUUUCAAGGUCCCAAGCUCCUGGAUGCCACGACCUUCCUCUUGACGACCAAUGUUAAAGAAUUCUAACGUUUGAAGACAAGUCCAUCGUCCAAUCCCGGAUGGCAUUUGGAUUUCGCGUCCUGUAUCAUCAUCAUCAUCAUCAUCAUCGCGUCCUGUAUCAUCAUCAUAGUGAAGAUGUCUCAUGCUAAUCAAAUUGCUCAUCUCCUUUGGAAAACCGUCUACAAGCAUGCCAAUUCUCAGUGUUUGCAAACAGUAAAGUUUGCAAAGAGAUUCUGGCAAAGUUCUGAUACUAGACUCUGAAAUGUCGAGUAAGUGUAAAUGUAUUAGUUUGCCAAUGGAGGUCGGCAACUCUUCGACAUCUGCUCCAAACAAUUUUAGGACAUGCAAGUAUUUGAACUUUGAUACCAUAUCAUCAGCUAUGCCACCCUCCAGAAAUAAUGUGCGAAGCGAUGCUGAUGCUUUUUCAUUGAUUCUUUCGGGUGAGUAUACCGCAAGGUAACGGUCCUGAUUGCUGCUGUUAUGAUUCAAAAUUGAUUUUGCAAAAUCGUGCACAAGAUCAUGCAUUUUAUACCAUGUUCUCCUCUCCUCUUUUACUUCUUCCAAUAAGGAAGUUUGCAGCAAAGUUCUCAGAUACUCAUAUCCUAUUCCCUCCAUCAUUCUUUCAUUUUGGGGAUCCGGUUGAAGAAAGCCUUCAGCCAUCCAAAGCUCAACUAGUAGAUCUUGUUCCAAUUCAGUAUCUUGAUGAAAAAUUGAGCAAUAUGCAAAACAUUUCUUAACCGGUGCAGGUGAGAGAUGAUCAAAACUCACCUUAAUUAUUUGCUUGAUCCCACCCUGAUCUCCAUUCAAGAGACUCUCCUCCAAAAUAGAUAGCCAAUCCUCUUUUCUCUUUUUAGAUAACAAACCUCCGAUUAACGUUGCUGCCAGAGGCAGACCGUCACAUCUUCUUACAACUUGCUCCUCAUGUCUUCCAAUUCUUUUGGCACUUUUUCCCCUACAGUUGCCCAAUUUUUCACGAUAGACCAGCAGUCAUCAUCGUAUAGCUUUCUUAGGUCAUGACGAGUAAAAUUGAUCCGCCGAUGUCUAGACAGAACAAUUGGCACUUGUUGGAGACGAGAAGUAACAAGACAGCAGCUCCCUUUCUUCGGUUUGAGUGCCUCCAAAGUGGUGAAAAAGUCAUUCAACAAUCCUUCUUGAUGAUUCCACAAAUCGUCAAGAACAAGCAAAUAUCUUUUUUCCUUAAGUUCAGUUUCAAUUCCUUCAACUAUUACCUCCCUACCAUCCACUUCAGCCUUUUUUCUUGUUGAUGAUUCUAGAAUCAUUUUGAAGAGCUCCAUGAUUUCAACUUCUUUAGCCACACAAACCCAAAUUUUUUUGUCAAAAUGAUUAUCAAACUGUGAAUUGUUGUAAACGGCUUUAGCUAGAGUUGUUUUUCCUAAUCCUGGCUUGCCAGUUAUGGAAACAACUGAAAUACUGACACUUUCAGAUUCGGUCAACAACUUCUUAACUAUUUUUGAUUCAUCCUCGUCUCUUCCUAGGACAUCACUUCGAACAAUCUUCGAGUCAGUCUGUCUGCUUGUUGUGGCUCCAGUAACAAUAGUAGCGAAUGCUUCCGGCCGCUUGUAGGCCAGUCCCAAACCUUCUGCAUCCCGAUGGAUCCUUUCAAGGUUCGCGUUGACCCCCCUGAUCAUUGAACCCAACCUCCAACGAAAACCAAUUUUAUUAAAGAAUGAAAAGCAGAAGAAUACCUUCAUUUUCGUGAGUUGAUUUUGAUACUUCACCUUCCGACGAAGAUUUUCAUAGUUGAGCUCGUCCAGCACAUUGUCAGCUUUGAAAACCUCAUCUUCCAGCUGCUCGACCCAAUUUUGCACCCCUGGUCUACGCAUGUCCUUGUCGGCACCGGCCAAGAAGCCUCGGAUCAUUGCAGCAGAUUUGUCGAGUCUCUCCAGCUCCUCUGGGAAUUCACGAUGAUCAGCGGCAAGAGAAACAACCGCCUGCAAUGCAACCUGAAUAGUAGCACUAACAGGAGCAUCAGCCAUUUUUUCUCGCUUGGGAUUGGAAUUAGGAUGAAAGUGUUCUGCAAUGGUGAUGGGGGGAUGCUUUCUGCAAUGGGACAAGGAAGGAUAUGGUUCAACUUCAGCAGCUAAGAGCAAAGUCAGCGGAGGCUAAAACUUGGGGGAAUGAAAUUUGCAACUCAACUUCCAAAUUUCUCCACUGCACGCUCUAUCAUCACUCCUGACAGGUGUCCGUGAUUUACGGAUCACAGCUCUAGCAGCUGCACGUUCUCUCAAGAGUCAUAAGAGUAAUAUUAAGGCUUUGGAAAGCACGGCUCUAGCAGACAUGUCCGUGAUUUACGGAUCACAUCUGCAUAUGACCGUGUUCCUGAUUACAGUUAUUUUUUUUAAAAGCAGGUCAAGAAGUUGAUUUGCUUAGCUUCACAGAGGUAGAAACAGAGUUGUCUCCUUCACGAAGGCACGUAAGAGAUUAAGAACCAGAAGCAGAGUCGUCAGCUUCGCAUGAAAGCACUUCACAAGAGAUGGAAGCAGAUUUUUUAGCUUCACGUUGAGGCACAUCAGUACAGUUAUCGAGUACAGAAGAGUUUUGCUGGUGAGCUUCCCAUAAAGUAUCAACCUCUGACUGAUGAUCAAGUGGCGAUGAUACAGGUUUUGGUUAAGGAUUCAGUGAAGCCAGGUCGAUCAAGCGCUUUUGUGUUUGAAUGAAACUAGAAAAAAGAAGGGGUCCCCUGUUUUGCAUUUUGAAGUUUAAAGCAUUAGGCAAUGGCAUCAAUUCAACUAGCACAUGAAUGCAAGCGAGCAGCACAAUAACCACGAAAUCAUGAGCACAAUGCUCUUCAAGCUUAAUCAGAAAAACAUUCGACUAAUUCCUGAGUACGAAAUCAUUGAAAAACAGAUGAAAAUUUUGGUAGUUGAACAUUAAGGAAGGCGAAAAGCACGACUUUUACAACUCAAAACACAACUUAAUUGGUGAGAACCUUUUAGCAACUGUUAAACCAUUUAGCAUAUGUAGCUAGAGACCUUGCAUAUGUGAGCCAACCUGCAACUUGACUCACAUUUCUUAUUCGCUAAAACAGCAGGCUCUGUGAUUCCUCCUUAUCACAAUGCAGUAAAGAGAGCAGGUGCUAAUAUAAAAUUGGCGUAACUUCUAACUCAUCAUCUUAUAGUUUCUCUCUUAUCGGUUUUAUUUUUACUAAGAUGUCAUACUUUUUUAUGUUAAAAUGUCUCAAAAUCAUUUUAUUAAACUCAAAUUUACUUUUGAUCUCUUUUUUUACAAUGUAAUUUUCACGUUUAUCAAUAUUUGGCACUAAAUUCAAAUUUAAAAUUUGAAUUUCGAGAACAAGUUUAGAAAUGAAUCCACUAACAUCACCGUCAAGUUAUUUACUAUUCUUAAAAAAAAAAAAUUUGAGUCUCGAAAUGCAAAUAAUAAUUGGAGCGGAGGGAGUAACAUUAUAAUUUCCAUCAGUUUUCCAUGUAUACUCAAAUAUAAUGAUGAUUUCUUAAUAGAAUUUUGGUACUUUGUAUUGCAUUUUUUUUAUUUUAAAAUUAAAACACAUAUUGCUUUUUUUUUCCAUUAAAAACUUUUGAAAGGUUUUUUCACUUUCAUAAUAGAUUAGUGCAAAUCAUCACUGAUUAUUUUCCCCCCACAAACUCAAUAGUGCAAAAUAGUCCUAUUGAGGCAAAAAGGAUUAAUCAGUAGAGGGAAAAUAUUUGUACAAACGAACAAUUGCUAACUGCUAAUGAUAUAAAUACACACCAAUUAAACAUGGUAAGUAACAUGGACUUGAGUCAAUUAAAAUACUCCCUUCCUUCCGAAAUUUUUGCCGCAUUUCAGGAUCUCUGCAUUUAUAUUUUCAAUAAUGCAAGAAUCUUAAAUGAUUUGGGCUUAUGUUCCAGUAACACCCCUGCUUGGAGUUUCCAGGUGCUCAUGCGUUUUUGAAUGAUAAAAGAAUCACAACUUGUGACAAAUUGAAACUGUUUUUGGCUCCUUGAAAUCAAAUUGAAAUAAAGUAAAGGGUCAAUUAGCACUAAUCUCCAAUUUUAUUAGGGAUAAGUUGCACUUUGCCCACUUGAGUUAUUUUAUCAUCACUUAAAAAAAACACCUCUUCUUUGAAGACUAGCUAUUUCGUUUCUUGGUUCAAAAUAGAGAUGCACAAUGAUAGUCUCCUUAGGGCCUCAAAAAUCAAGCUUGUGAUCUCAAGUUAAUCGAACUUUUAAUUUUUGAAGUAGAUAAUAAUCAUUGAAUUAUUGAAACUUCUACUCCCUCUCUCCAUUGUUAAUGUUGUUUGUGUAGUCAUUAAUUGGCUCCAAAUUAUUUGGUUGCAUCACAAACAUAAUUUCCAACACUAUUUUAUCUUUUCAAUUACCUUUUUAUCUCACACACAUCACAUCACAAAAAUUACUACAGUAAUUAUUUUAAAUAAUAUUUUAAAUAAUUUCCUAUCCAAACACACUAGUUAUGUUUUUUACAUUUUUGCUGUCCCAAAAUAAGAGCUUCAUAACAAAAGUCAAACAAAUUUCAAUGCUGAUUUCCUUUUACGCCCUUCACUAAUAAUGAUCAGAUUCCAUCAAUUAACAAUAAACAAUUCCAUAUGGCCAACCAUAACACAUGCACAGUUUCAGAAUGCCUAUGACCUUGUAUUUAUUUGGCUGGUCUCCAUAUUCAAACGUGGAUAAGACCGGAAGAAUCUAAAAAUUGCAGCUCACAGUUUUACUGCAUAAAAAGUGCUACUCGCAAAAUGUCCCAAUUUUUCAGACAAGAGGAGUAUUAAUUUACUUUGUUUAAUUUGUAAAUAUCAUUAAGAAUUGAGGCCUUAGUCUUUACAUAAUCAAGAAUGCGGGAUUAAUAUGUCAUCCCCAUUCUACAUCCUAGUAUGUUUAAAAGAAAUUGUAAUGAAUGAACGUUAGUUUAGAAUAACUUAAAUAAUGCAAAUGAGAAUGGCUGUCAAGUUCGACACCUCCUACGUACAAUUUUCUUUUAAAAAAAAAAGAAUAAUCUUUUGGGAGGAGAGGAAGGAGUUGGGCGGUAUGGGAAGAGAAAAUGUAAGUGAGAAGUCCUGAGUUCGAGAUCUUCCACUUAUACUAAAAAAAAACUUGAACAAUGCAUUUUUUUUAAUCCUAUCACAAAAGGAGGCAUUAAUAAAAAUUCCCUAUUUUUGUUAAAUUGUUGGACUAAGGAAGCUGAGAAAGAGUCACUUGAAUGUAUUUAAGAGGUCUCAAUUAUUAUUAGGUCUAAUUGCUUGAGACUAUUUGUGGCGAAGAUUAACCUUGACAUUCAUUACAACCCAAGUUCAUGCUGAUAUUGUACAUUCAUUGUGUCAGAGGUGUACAUGAUUUACCCCAUGCAUGACCCACAAUCAGUGCUGUGGUAGGAAAUGGUUUCCUGGCAAAUUUGAGUAAUUAAAUUUUGUAUGCCAAAGUCAAUUCAUUGCAAAUUCAGUAAAUGCUUCUAGUAUAUAAAUCAUAUGUUACCACAAGAACUUAGGCACAUGUGAGUUGUUAUGGGGCACUAGGAAUGUGGACUGCUGCAUGUUGAGACCUUGCAACCUACAUUUCACCAAAAGGCAACCCAAGCAGCAUCGUCCAAAUACACAAUUUCCAAAACACAAAAUCACUAGUUAUAUCAUCAUCAUCAUCAGCAGCAGCAGCAGCAGCCAUAUUUUUCUUGCUUAAAAUUGGAAUUAAGAUUAAGUUUUCUGAGAUCAGAGAAGGGAGGGAGGUUUUAGCAGCAAAUAAGUAAAAUCUGUGUGGAAGCCGAGAAGAAAGAAUAAAAAUUGGGUCAUGAAACGAGUUUGGUCAAUUGUGGCGGCCUUUAGUUGUUUAAAAAUUCCAUUAUUUUCGUUGUAGGAUUUAAAAAGACAAACGAAAGUGAUUUCAAAUUAUAUCAGUAGGUAGUGCUUGUUUUAAGUAUUGGGGGUCUGUUUGAUAACAUAAAAAAAGUGCUAAAUUUGAAUUUUUUCAAACAUUCAGAUGUUUUGAGUGUUUGAGAAAUGAAAAUCUAUUUGCUGAACUUGUUAAGCAGUGCUGAACCUGUGUGUAUUUUUUUCAGCACAAGAAUCCUAACUGAAUGCUUAAUUCUGAUAAGAAUCAAUAAAAUUACUUCAACUACCUUAUCUUAUCUGCCAAAUCUACUCUUAUUUGUUAAUUAUGUUCAAAAUUCUUAUUUAAUUAAAUAACGUAAUAUUCUCUAUCUAACGAUUUUUAGUUUCUCUUUUCUCCCUUUUUAAUGACUUUCACAUCUUCUCCAUACUUCUCAUAUAGUAUAUUUCAUCUUUUAUAUUAAUUUGAUUUAAAAAUAAAUAUUGUCAUUUUCGUACCUUACAAUUUUAAACUAAUUAAAUCAUAGAUUCUAUUUCUUUUUUGAAUGAAAGGAUAUAAGGGCAAAAUUGUCAAAUUAAACUUAUUAAGCAUUCAGCUAUAAAUAUUUAUCAACCAGUAUAAAUAGGUUUAACAUUAAAAUUCAGACGUUCAUAUAUUUUUUUCAGUGCUUAAAAUUCAGCAAAUUAAUUGUUUCAAUAUUCAGAUUUCAGAAUUCAGACUUCAAAAUUCAGAUUCAGUUUUAUCGAACGGAAGUGUGAUUAAUCUCUCUAGUUUAAUUUAAUCAUCAUUCACAUCAAGUCAUGAUCACUUAUUGGUGCUUUUGGGUUGAUUGGACAUACUAAUUCUCUUUUCUGUUUUCUUAUAUUAAUCUGUUAUUUACCCAACAAAGAAUCAUCUAGAUGAGUAAUUAAAUGGAACAAUUUUGUUUGCUUCUAACAAUUUUAGUCAAACAGAUAAACUUUCUGAGAUCAAUUUUAGUCAAAGAAAUAAACUUUCUGAGAUCAAUUCUUACUUAUCCUUGAAUAUCAACAUCUAAUAGCUUGCUUGAGAUGACUUCCCAAAUUUAAUGUAGUGCUUAUUGGCACAUUUAACUGCCUCAAAUUGUACAAGUGUAGUUCUUGGAAGUCUUCUUAACAGAAUAUUUUUCUAACUAAUACACCAAGUGGCUAAGGAAAUGUGGAGCUAAUUUUGGUCAUCCUGCUACUUUGUCUGGUUCCCAUGUGUGAGUGCUGGUUUUGGUAUGAGGCUUUUUUGUAUGUAAACCAAAUUUCUUCCAUGAAAAUUUUAUAUAAAUUUUUUGUUGUUACAAACAAAAUCUAUACAAAAUUUAUUCAGUUCAAGUGUCUCCUAAUUGCACACAUAUUGGGUGUUAUUGUGUCCUUAACAUUAGUAAAUUUCUGUUGCUUAUCAAAAAAUAAAAAGGUUUCGGAGCUUGAGGUACUUAUUUAAGAACAGUUUGGCGGGCAUACUAAAAAAUAAAUGGUUCUGUAUGAAAUUUGGUUGUUUGGCGGCAUACUCGUUUUUAUGCUCAACUCAUUUACGUUCAUAUUUACCAUGUGAUUUUGGUGUUUCAACGGAUUUUGGUGCCAUUAAGUUUUCUGGGCUCGUCCAAGACUUUAAUUUGUGGGUUUUUAAGGUUUUGGCCAAUACUUGAGGGUUCUUUCAAUUUCAUUAAGAAAGUUGGGAAUUUUACUUGAUAUGGUGAAAUUGUGCUCAAAACCUAAUUAUUACCAUAUUACGAGGACUUUGACAAUCAUUAUUUUUCCUAGUUAUUUUUUUGAGGAUUGCAAGGACUUAAUUUGGAAAAUGUCAUUGAAUUGUAAUAGAACUACAAUCUACCGUUAGAGAGGGAGGAAUUUCACAAGCCAACCUGUACUUUUUUUUUUUCUCCUUUUGAGGGAACAACCUGUAGUUAAAUAAGGUGUGAAAAAAGGAACCUUUUUUUUCCUUGAAAUUGAAUGGACUAAGUACAGUUUACCAACUAGUGUUUCGUGGAAUUUCUACUUUGCUUAUCAUCCCUGUGUUUCGGACCAAUACCUGAUGGAGUCUACACAGUUGGAUAAGGAUUGAGUUUACAUGGGGCUCAGAGUUUCCAUGUAUGCUUAUCUUGUAUACCAUUUAUUUGCUUGUAAUUCAAUAGGUUAUAAUAUUCAUCAGGAUACCAAAAAACUGCAGAACUGAGGAGCUAUAGGCCUUCAUGGCAAUUAUGUGCUUUGUUUCACACAAUUUCAAUCCCCUCCUUCGUUAAGCAGAAGUGUUAAUUGGCAAAGGCUGAAUUGGCUGGUUUUCAUUUUGCUCUAUGGGCUCUAUUAACUACUGGAGCCAGCAGAGAGAAGAAAAAGAAAAUAUAUGGGGACAGUGUGUUUGAAUGUAAAGAUUGGAGGUGCACAGUUGAAAAGUGAAAUGACUCAAUUUUGAAUUGUCUAUUACUCAGUAGGAGAAGCAUAACUCAAGUGUUGCCUGAGACAAAUGUGUAUUAUCCUUACUUUCUUUUGUACUGAAUGUCUUUCUUUGUUCCGUAGGUGCCAUGGUUCAAAGACUCGGCCGAGUCGUCACUGGAACGAGGCUUCUCGAUCCGAUAUCUGGAUGAGAUGACUCCGAAAUAAUGAAUUAUCGAGAACUCGGCCGAGACGUCUCCGAGAUGGAUAGAAACUGCCGAGUUGCCUCGAGUAGCUCCGAAUCAUCCCAAGUCAGCUCGAAUUUUUAUUACUUUUGUUAAUUUUUUAAUUAUAUUUUUUUAUAAUUUUUAGAAUAUUAAAUAUUUCAAAAAUUUGCGUCUCGCCGAAACUGCGACCGAUAUGCGAAACCGAUGUGGAACGAUUUGGGCCGCGACCGUGACCGUGACCAUGACUUUGAACCAUGUCAUGGCGGGGAUAUUCUUUCUUGAUAUAACUUUUUCUUGUGAUGAUCCAUUCAAACCACCAUAGGUAUGCUGAUAGCUACAGGAAAUACUAAAGAUCACUAAUUCCUUUUUCAUUCUAAUUUCAUUUUCACUACAAGCUAGAAGUAAGUGUUUCUGCAUAUGAUGGCUGAGUUAAAUGUCUCUUAAAAUCAUCUGAUUUACCAAGGGAUUGUUUUAGCUCUUGUAUACGUGGUUCGAAGACUUGGCCGAGACCAAGAUGACUCGGUCAAAUCGUCACCGUCGGCCCUCGCCGAUACGAUACCGUGACGAAACGAUACCGAGAUACUCAACUCGCCUAGACGUCACCGUGAAGGGUUGAAACGGCCGAAUCACACCGAAUCACUCCGAGUCAUCCCGAAUCAACUCAAAUUUUUAUUAUUUUUACUAAAUUUUAAUUAUUUUUGUUUAUCAUAUUUUUUUACAAUUUUUAGAAUAUUAAAUAUUUCAAAAAUUCGCGUCUCGCCGAGACCGCAACCGAUAUGCCGAAACCGAUGUGAAACGGUCCAGGCCGCGACUGCAACGGCGACCGCGACUUUGAACCAUGCUUGUAUACAAUCAGCAGUCCAAGAAUGGAUUAAAACGCCACUCUAUGCUUCUUUUCACCUUCAUGCUUCAGAUUGUUUACAUGAAAUGUUGGCCUCUACGAAACUGUAGUCUUGUCAUGAUUUCGUUUAUUGAUAGUGUCCAGCAAUAAAUGUUAUCUCAGAAUGAGGACAGUUUGUUCAAGUUGUUUCAUAUCUAUAUCCAAUAAUUCUGACACCUGUAAGUAAAUCUGUCCGCUUUGCCCAAGUUUAUCUGUGAGGUUCUAUGUGUAAAGUUUCAUCUAAAACUACAAACAGUGUUCAAAUGUUAUACGUUGGUUCUUGCAGAUAAAUCCCUUGUUCCCAGUAUUGCCCACUUGUAAUCGGCAGACAGAGCAAAGCAUGAUAAACUGCCUACAGAGUAACGCGAUUCGCAAGGUGAAAUGCAAUCCAGUGGAUGAAUAAUCAUUAAGCCCAUAAUAUUCAGUCUUGAGGAUUACAUAUUACUUUCUGCAGUUGGGAGAAUAGGGCUCCAAGCUUUGCCUAUAGAACCAGAAGCUGCCUUCUUGCUUACAUGGUUACCUGGUUCUGAAUUUCGAUCAAUAGUUCAAUACAACUAGGUCUCGGGUUGGUUAUAGUUGGAUGUGCAGCCAAUCCAUAGCUCUUAUGUAACAACUACCCAGCAAGUUCUUGGUUCUUCCAAUAUUAGUUUGUCUACGAGUGUGGCUAAUGAGUAUGUAUAUAAGUAGCAGCAUCUAGCUGUGAUUAUUCUUUUCAAUGGUCGAUUAAAGCAUGAUCUUAUUACCAAUUUCCUACUCUGUAUUUUUAUCAAUGGGAUGUAUGCUUAUGAAAAUUCUUGAAGGUCUUGGGAACAAAUUCUAAUUCUGGGUUUUGCUUGAUGGUUCUUAUUCAAAUUCCCAGCUCCUGAAGAUAGGCGAAAUUGGAUAUCAGUCGAUUGCUGUAAUUUUCCCUCCGUUGACAUACCUUGGCUUCCAAUGCUUAUACAAGAAUUUGACCUCCUGUUAAUUUGUGCAUUCUUUCACAAGCCUAGGCAACAGCCAUUUGGGCUAUUGCCUACCACCAAAGAAUUUAAAUCUUAGUGGAUGGAAGGUUAAAUGUUCAAAUUUUAUCACAAUACGUGGUUUCUUCAAAUUCAUACGAGUGCACUCUGAUUCGAUGGUGGUUCAGUCCCCGUCGACUCCUCUAUAAGUCCAGUUGGGCCUUCCCUUGAUUAGGUUAGAAUAAGAGUAGAGUAGAUAAAUGAUAAAUAAAAAAAAAAUACAGUAAUAUCAAUUUUACCUAGACAAGAAAUUUGUUGAUUACCUUUGAAUAAUAUCACUGCAUCCACAUUAAGUGGUGGUAGAUUAUUUGAAUAUCAGGCAUACCAUCUGAUACAAGAUUUUUACUCACAGCGUGCCAAACCACCAAGCUCCUACGUAGCCAUAUAUUUAUGGGUUUGGUGUGCUAUGCUAGAACUUGUACAUUUGCUAAGUAAAAUGUUACUACGUGAAACUUAUCAAGCAUUGCUUCCAAAUUUGUCCCCAUAGUUAUUCCCAAGCGAAAUAUGAAAAGAUAUUGGUCGAUAAUGUAGUUACAUGUAACUAUUUUUUCAUUUUCUAUUUAUCAAGUGUUUCAUUCUACCUGUCUCAUUCAAUUCAUCAACAAAAGAUCCUAUGUUUAUAUAAAUAUAAAUUGUACGUUGCAAGGGCAUUUUUCUUUUGUUCACUUCACCCUAAUAUACAUUUUUUGUUAGUGAUGAAAAAUGAGCAUUUUGGUAAAGUAAAUAUACAAAAAAAAAAAUCCUUAAAAUAAAUAAUUAAUUUGGAUGGUAAGACAUAAAUUAAUAAAGAUAACAGACAAAUUAGAUGAGAUGGACCUAAUAUGACAUUCAUGACCGUCAAAUAGCUAAUUCGAAAAGGAAAAAAAGAUGUGUGGCCAAAAUAAGACAUUGAGACAAAUUUAGUGGCCACUGAUUAACGCUUUCAUGCUUUUGGUCGGUGCCUUAUCUCUUCAAGCAAGACAUUCCUAAGUCCUAACCCAUAAACAUAACAUACCACAACUGGGAAACAAAUUUAUCUCGCUUUUCUUGAAUUCCAACCGGAUUGGUUUCUUUUCUUUCUUAAAGAAAAGUUGAAUACUAUUAAAUAUUUAAACCAAAUUCAUUCCUGUGGUCCUCGAAUCACUCAAGUAAACAUAAAUCAGAUUACUUUGAUGCGGCUGCAUACCAAAAAAUAAAAUUAGUCUAUCCCGAAAUGGUCUACCACUCUAGUAUUGAUGAUGGGCAAUUUGUUAGAAGUAUUUACCGUUGUUAAUUAAUCAUAUUUGUUUAUGCUACCUAAUUAGUGGAGUUAGUGGAAUAACUAGUGGGAUUAGUGGAAUACCUAGUGGAGUUAGUGGAGUUAGUAGUGGAGUGAGUGGAGUUAUUGGGAUAGUUAGUGGAGUUAGUGGGAUAGUUAGUGGAGUUGGUUAAACUCUAUAAAUAGAGUAAUUUCAUGUUAUAAGUUGGUGAGUUUUACAAAGAAAUAAACAUUUGUCCUUUGCUUCUCUUAUUAUUUGCCUCAAUAUUUGUAUCAGUGGUACCAGAGCUAGGCUAGUGAGUGAAAACAAAAGUGAGUUGUGAGAAUUGUAAAUUACGAUGGCCACCGACAAUUUUGUGCAGCCAGCAAUUCCUCGCUUUGAUGGUCACUAUGAUCAUUGGAGUAUGCUAAUGGAGAACUUCUUGAGAUCCAAGGAGUAUUGGCAGGUUGUCGAAUCUGGAGUAGCAGAGCCAACAGCCGGAGAAAUAUUGUCAGAGGUGCAGAAAAUGGAGUUGGAAGCAUUGAAACUGAAAGAUCUUAAAGCCAAAAAUUAUCUUUUUCAAGCUAUUGAUCGAGCCAUUUUGGAGACAAUUCUUAGCAAAGAUACCUCCAAACAAAUUUGGGACUCCAUGAAGAAAAAGUAUCAAGGAAAUGCAAAGGCGAAGCGGGUGCAGCUUCAAGCUCUUCGGACCGAAUUUGAGACUUUACGCAUGAAGUCAAGCGAAUCAGUCACUGAUUAUUUCGCAAGAACGAUGGCAAUCGCUAACAAGAUGAGGAUCCAUGGAGAAAACUUGAAGGACGUCACCAUUGUCGAGAAGAUUCUUCGAUCAAUGACAACAAAAUUUAAUUUUGUUGUAUGCUGUAUAGAGGAAUCGAAAGAUAUUGAUGCAAUUUCAAUUGAUGAGUUGCAGAGUUCUUUGUUGGUUCAUGAGCAAAAAAUUAACCAGCAAGAGAAAGAGGAGCAAGCACUAGUGGCUUCAGCAGAAAUUCACUCAACAUGGAGAGGAGGCAGAGCAGAGGCAGAGGCAGAGGCAGAGGUAGAGGAAAUAAUGAUCGUGGCAACCAACAACAACAAUACCAGCACCAAGAAAAUCAAUUUCAAGGAAGAAGAAGAGGACGAGGAGGCUAUCCAUUAACAAAUCAAAGGCCAAAGUCAGCAGACAAGUCCAAUGUUGAAUGCUACAAAUGUCAUAGGUAUGGCCAUUAUCAGUCCGAAUGUCGAACUAAUUUGAAUAGACAAAAUGGAGAAAGGACUAAUUUUGCAGAAAAAGAAGAAGAAGUGUCUCUUUUGAUGGUGUGCCACAUGAGUGAAGAAACUCAACAAAACACAUGGUAUUUAGACACCGGUUGCAGCAAUCACAUGUGUGGAGAUAAGAAGGCAUUCUCUGAAUUGGACGAGUCAUUCCGUAGCACUGUCAAGUUUGGUGAUAACUCUACAAUUUCUGUUAUGGGAAAAGGAAGGGUAAUUAUCCAAGCUAAAGAAAAUUCUUCUACCCACACUAUUACUGAUGUUCUUUUUGCUCCAGACUUAAAGACAAAUUUGCUUAGCGUGGGUCAGUUGCUCGAAAAAGGGUACGAGAUUUCAAUCAAAGGUGGUGUAUGUCAGAUUCGAGAUGCAAAGUUGGGCUUAAUUGCUCAAGUUAAGAUGACGGCAAAUCGUAUGUUCCCACUCGAUUUGCAGAACUUGACUCAUUCAUGUUUCUCGACAAAAUCGAAAGAUGUGGGAUGGUUAUGGCAUUUUCGUUAUGGACAUUUGAAUUUUGGUGGACUGAAAACUUUGCAACAGAAAAAUAUGGUAGCUGGUUUACCUCAAAUCACAACUCCUUCAGAAGUUUGUGAAGAAUGUGUUAUUGGCAAACAACAUCGAGAUAGCUUUCCAAAAGGAAAAUCGUGGAGAGCAAAAAAUGUCUUGGAGCUGGUUCACUCUGAUCUAUGCGGACCCAUAAAUCCGUCAUCUAAUGGUGGAAAACGUUAUUUUAUGACGUUUACUGAUGAUUAUAGUCGAAAAACUUGGGUCUAUUUUUUGCAGGAAAAAUCUGAAGCAUUUUCAACGUUCAAAAAUUUCAUGACUCUUGUCGAAAAGGAAGCAGAAAAUCCAUAAAAUUUUUCGCAGUGAUCGUGGUGGAGAGUAUAAUUCACAAGAAUUUAUAAAUUUUUGUGAGGAGCAUGGAAUUCAGAAGCAGCUUACAACCGCUUAUACGCCGCAGCAGAAUGGUGUUUCAGAGAGGAAGAAUCGUACAAUAUUGAACAUGGUGAGGAGCAUUUUGACAAAAAGUGGUGUUCCAAAAAAUUUUUGGCCGAAGCUGUCAACUGGAGCAUUCAUAUAUUGAACAGAAGUCCCACACUUGCUGUUAAAAAUAUGACGCCUGAGGAAGCAUGGAGCGGACGGAAACCAACAGUGGAUCACUUCAAAAUUUUUGGAUGCAUUGCCUAUGCUCAUGUUCCAGAGCAAAAGAGGACAAAACUAGACAACAAAGGGGAGAAAUGCAUUUUUCUUGGUGUUAGUGAUCAGUCAAAAGCUUAUAAGCUUUAUAAUCCUAUCACCAAGAAAAUUGUCAUCAGUCGGGAUGUAAUUUUUGAUGAGGAAAAUUUUUGGCCAUGGAGCAACAAUAUUAUUAAACAACAAAUACCCGCUGAUUUUGAUGGAGUUGAUGAAGAAAACAGGCAGCAGUUGACAGAACAAAUUCCAUCAAAUGGUCCAGAUAAUGUAUCAAAUUCCCAAACAGUAGCAGAAGAUGAAGGACGGCCUCAACGUAUUAGAAAAAGACCUGCAUGGAUGAUUGAUUAUGAGGUAACUGGAAUUGAUCAAUCUGAAGACCCACUUACAUAUUUUGCACUAUUUUCCGAUUGUGAUCCUACAGUUUUUGAAGAAGCUGUCAAAGAUUUGAAGUGGCAGAAGGCAAUGGAUGAAGAAAUUGCAGCUAUUGAACGAAAUAACACUUGGGAGUUAACCAAUCUUCCAGAAGGACAAAAAUCUAUAGGUGUCAAGUGGGUGUACAAGACGAAAUUAAAGGAGAAUGGAGAAGUUGACAAGUACAAGGCACGUCUGGUAGCUAAAGGCUAUAAGCAAGAGUUUGGGGUGGAUUAUGGAGAAGUCUUUGCUCCAGUCGCAAGGCAUGACACGAUUAGGAUGGUGAUAGCAUUGGCAGCUCAAAAUUCAUGGCCUAUCUUCCAAUUGGAUGUGAAAUCAGCAUUUUUACAUGGUGAUUUACAGGAACAGGUAUUUAUUGAUCAACCUCCUGGUUAUGUGAAGGUUGGAAGUGAACAUAAGGUAUACAAACUCAAGAAAGCAUUAUACGGAUUAAAACAAGCCCCGCGUGCUUGGUAUAGUCGUAUAGAUGCUUAUUUUUCUAAGGAGGGAUUUAAGAAAUGUCCAUAUGAGCAUACACUUUUCAUAAAGAUUGGAGAUGGAGGUAAAUUGCUGAUUGUUUGCUUAUAUGUUGAUGAUCUUAUUUUUACUGGGAAUGAUAGUGCCAUGUUUGAGAAAUUCAAGAAAUCUAUGAUGGCUGAAUUUGAUAUGUCUGAUCUUGGAAAGAUGCAUUAUUUUUUGGGUAUUGAAGUGGUGCAAUCUGCUGAUGGAAUUUUUGUCUCUCAAAGAAAAUAUGUGCAAGAAAUUCUGAACAGAUUUCAAAUGUCGAAUUGUAAUUCUGUUAGUACGCCAGUUGAAGUGGGUUUAAAACUCAUCAAAGAACCAGGAGGAAAGAGGGUUGAUAGCACCCUUUACAAGCAAAUUGUGGGAAGUUUGAUGUAUUUGACAGCAACUAGGCCUGAUAUUAUGCAUGCUGUAAGUCUUAUUAGUAGAUACAUGGAAAGUCCAAGGGAGACACAUCUUCUAGCUGCCAAGAGGAUUCUUCGAUACUUGCAGGGAACCAUUGAGUAUGGAUUAUUUUACAAGAAUGGUGAAAAAUCAGAUUUGUUUGGUUUUACUGACAGUGACUAUGCAGGCGAUUCUGAUGAUAGAAAGAGUACGUCUGGGUAUGUGUUCAUGAUGGGUUCAGCAGCUAUUUCAUGGUGUUCAAAAAAGCAACCAAUUGUUACGUUAUCAACAACUGAAGCAGAGUAUGUAGCUGCAACCGCCUGUGCCUGUCAAGCAAUUUGGUUAAGGAAUAUUCUUGAAGAGUUGCAUUUUCAGCAAGAAGGAGCUACUACAAUUUAUUGUGACAACAGUUCUGCCAUCAAGCUCUCUAAAAAUCCAGUUCUACAUGGAAGAACCAAACACAUAGAUGUGAGGUUUCAUUUUCUAAGGGAGCUCACAAGGGAUGAAAUAAUUGAUUUUCUCUACUGCAAAAGUGAAGAUCAGAUUGCUGAUAUAAUGACCAAGCCAUUGAAGUUAUCCACGUUUCAGAAAUUAAGGAAGCUGCUUGGAGUCUGUGCAGUUAAUAAAUCAUAUUAAACUGAAUGUUUGAUAAACUUUCAGUUUAAGGGAGGAAUUGUUAGAAGUAUUUACCGUUGUUAAUUAAUCAUAUUUGUUUAUGCUACCUAAUUAGUGGAGUUAGUGGAAUAACUAGUGGGAUUAGUGGAGUACCUAGUGGAGUUAGUGGAGUUAGUAGUGGAGUGAGUGGAGUUAUUGGGAUAGUUAGUGGAGUUAGUGGGAUAGUUAGUGGAGUUGGUUUAAACUCUAUAAAUAGAGCAAUUUCAUGUUAUAAGUAGGGUGAGUUUUACAAAGAAAUGUUUGGCUCCGUUUGGAUUAGCUGUUUUUGGGGUUGUUUUUUAAAAACAGCACUAUUCAUUUUUUGAAAAACACUCAAUGUUGUUUGGAUUAGUUGUUUUUCAAAAACAGAGUGUUUUUUAAAAACAAGCGUGUAUGGAUUCACCGUUUUUGAAAAACAACAUUUAAUUUUUUUUGGGGCUGUGUUCGAAAUACUUAAUGCCAUUUGCACUUAAACAAUUAUCAAUUUUUUAAUACAUAGACGAGACAUAAGUGUACAAUUUAUUGGGCCUACUAUCUGAACAAAUAGUGACCGGAGAUGUUCUACUGGUGCUGAUAAUAGUACAUCAUAUCGGCUAUUGCUCUCCUACUUUCAUUCCAUUCAGCAAUUCCUGCAGCCGACAUAUCUGGAGCUUGUGCUGCGGGCAUUGGGUUGAAGGGGUUUAUGUUAUCUUCCAAUGCUAUAUCUGCUUCUUCUUCAGCAAAAUAUGCAUCAUUUGGAACAUACUCUCGCAUGAAGUUGUGCAAGGCCAUACAAGCCAGUACAAUAUUAAUUUGAGUAGCCAUCAUGUAAUUCUGCAUAGGGCCCUUAAGUAUUGGAAAUCGUUUCUUCAAGACGCCAAACGUACGUUCUAUAAUGUUUCUUAACGAUGCAUGCCGUUUGUUGAAGAGUGUCCUCACUGCCCGCUCUUGCGCAGUUCCGCGUGCACCUUUAAAUGGAGCCAUAAAUCCUGCCAUAUUCUGGUAAGCCGCGUCCACCGCGUAAUACUUCCCUGGCAUAAUGAAAUUAUAUUUAUAAUUCAUUGAAGACACAAUGAGGAAAGGAAUUAUGUGAUUUAAUCUGGACUAACCUGCUGGUGGCCACGGAAAUGCACAAUUAGGAUCUUGUAUGACUUCUUGUAAGAUUCUAGAAUCAUGUGCGCUACCCUCCCACCCUACCCUGACAUAAGUAAAUCUCAUGUUGUGAUCACACACGGCUAGAACGUUUUGUGAUAAGCUACCAUGCCGGUUCCGGUACCGUUCCCUGUCUUCGGCUGUACACCAGGCCGAAACGUGUGUUCCGUCAAUCGCUCCAACGCAAUCCUAAUAAAAAAAAAUUCUUCCCAUAAGUGGGUCACAGCUGUUAGACAAAAUGAAAUAGUAAUUUGACAUAGUAGCUCAUAACCUUAAACCAGGGCCAAAACAAAGCACUGUUCUGUAUUCUUGGAUGGGUUGUGUGAUAAUCUACCGGUCGGACCAGGUCACGUCCCAAUCGAACGAGAGAUCUAAGGCAGCGGCGUAGAUGGCGGUCCGUUGUCUCGGGAGAAUGUUGGAAUCUGUCGGCAAGCACCCUAUGUCGCUCAUUAUGGCUCAAACACAGCAGGCAUAUAGCAACGGACUCAUGAAUCCCCACCCGUUGUGUCGGGUGGGCCACCCAAUAGCCCCUCUGAACCAACAAGUCACACAAUUGGAGGAAAAGGGGAGCUUCCAUUCGAAGGUUGUCGAAUAUUCUGUCUCGAUGGCCGUUGAUCAGCUCUAUAACAUAUUGAGGACCUGACUGUGCACUAUCUCGAAUUCUUCGGCGCUGGCCCGAGUUGAUGUACGGGUCGAAUAAGGCCAAUCCAGCAAGAAUAAAGGCAGCGAAGGCCAACAUGAGCUCGUCGUCGUCCGAGUCAUCAGAUAAGUUCCCACCAUUCACAUAACCAUCAUACUCCAUUUCGUUUAAUCUGUGCGACUGCGUUGGAUGUGAAUCUGAAAAAAAAAAAAGGAAAACAGAGAUUUCAUUCAAAACCAAUCUUAAUUUGCCAGAGAUUGGGUAGGAAAUAUAAAACUCAACAUAUACAUGGACCAAAAUUGAACAAAAACCUAUUCGCCAACCAAUUUAUAGCCAAGAGGAUAAGUUCUGAAUUUGUAAGACAAGAGGAUUGGUUUGUAAUAGCAAUCGGAUAGGCUAUUCUUGAAAUAUAUAGGCUAUUCGAUUGGUUUGUAAGACAAGAACAUAGGAUAAGUUCUUGAAAUAUAUAGGCACAGAGAUUGGUUUGUAAGACGAGGAUAAGGAUUUGAAAUAUAUAGGCUAUUCGAUUGGUUUGUAAGACAAGAGGAUAAGGAAUCGAGGCUAUUCGCCAACCAAUUUAUAGCCAACAAGUUGAGGGAUCCAGUAGAAGUUUUGCAUCUUACUUCAUAAAAAGAAUCUUACAUCUUCUUCAACCAUUUGGACGUAUUCUUGAAAGAAUUGUUGAAGUAAGACAUAUUCUUGAAAAUAGUUGUUGAAGUAAGUCAUAUUCCCUACCUAAAACUUGCUCUAAAAAUGAUCAUCAUACCUAAAACGAGCUAUUUUCCUUCCAAAAGUUGCUCUUUGAAUGUCCCUUACUUCAAUUACCUUACAUCUUUGUUAAAGUAAGUCAAUUUCUUAAAAUAAGUGUUAUUCUUUAUUCCUUACUUUAUCCGUUAGUAAGGAAUAACUUGGCGUUACUUUAUUCCUUACUUUAGCAGGAAAUUCUCAACACCGAACGUAGGUGUUUUGGGUGGAAGAGCCAUAAAAAUCUGAAUCACUUUAUUCCUUACUUUAGCAGGAAAUUCUCAACACCGAACGUAGGUGUUUUGGGUGGAAGAGCCAUAAAAAUCUGAAUGUAUCACGUCGUUGUCUGUGAAAGAAAACUUUCUUCUGAACCCACCACCAAAUGGUAGCUAAGAUACCCUAAGUCUCGAAUUGAUAAAAGAAAACAUUUAUUAUCGAAUUUGUCAGUUGCUGAAUAAAUAAUUAAAGGCAAUGGUGCUUGGAGUCCGGAAGAGCCAAAAAGAAUCUAAUCCGUUUUCUUCUCUUUCUUCGGCUGUGGCUUCUGAUAUAUCCUGCAUCUGACACAGGAUGGUACCAUUUGUCACCACACAUAUAGCAGAACCCAGAACAACUUCGAGAAAUUAAGGAAAGCAGAACUCGAGUUUUCACCUUAAAAUUCUCAACUAUCUGUGGGACCCUGGCAAAGAAGAAAAUUGCAUGCUCGGAUGCCUGACGUCGGACAAUAAUGCAAAUACAAGCUUCAAAAAGGCAUAAAACUCCAAAUUUAAACUUAGCAACUAUAAGAGCACAAGAAUAGUUAGCCGUGAGAAGCAUAAGCCAAACUUAUGGGAUAUAAAACAUUAAAUCAUUCUACUGACAUUAAUCGCCUCGAAGAGAAUGGGGUCAACCCGACCAGCUAAAAUAGUUGGCGCUAUAGCACAAUAUCUGUGAUGAACAUAGUAAAGGAAGCAAUAUCUCAUAAACAAGUCAUCAAUUAGUCUAAACUGCAAUAGUAAAGGGAAAGUGUCUUCAUGUAGGAUACAGUAAUGCCCUGAUCCAUGUCUUCAUUCCUAGAGGUUGAGAGAAGUAAUAGAUGAUGGCAACAGGGAAAGUGAAAGGGUUAGAGCCACUUAUCUCAUCAUUUAAUUCCAAUAACAUACAUAUAGUGCUCUAUAGAUAUCAGUCACCAAAUCCAGAAAAGACAUGUAACUCAGAAAGACCCUGAUAGAAAACAAGUUUACCCAUACAUUAACUGUGUACUUAGGAAAACACAGUAGACCUGCAGCUCAACCAAAGGCAAAACUGUAGCCAAAAACAAGUUUCAAAUAUUCAACCGACAUUGUAGCCGGCCACUUGCAACCUGUAGUCUGCACCAAGAAAUCACACAUGUAUACAGAAAAGCAAAUUUGGCCUCAUCUAAAGCAUUAUACAAGGCUUAACAUUCAAAAUUUAAUGAUUUGUUAUAUCCAACCUAAUAGAAAAGAACACAAACCAGUUUUAAAUAAAAAAAAAGGCUUGAAUCCGCAAACCAAUUCUUAAACAAAGGCAUCAUGAAUUUAAUUACUCAACAUUCAUCCGCAACACAACAACUCAACAACUCAACAAACCAGUAUUCAUCCGCAAAUUCAAAUAUACAGACCACAACACUCACAAAGGAUAAAGUCCAAGUUCCGGUAGCAAAUGCUACACCUAACAGACCUCAAAUACAAACAAACAUUAGGCAACAACUCAAGUUUCAAAUAAAUGCUCCUGAUGAACAACGAAAGCACCUAAAAGGGGGUGGGGGAGGGGGCUCCUGAGAGUCAGGGGGGAAACAGCCUUUUAGCUUCAUCCAAGUGAUGCGGUCGGCGUCACUUGCAGCUAAAUUCCAAAUAUCCAGCUCUUGUUUAUCCUUCAAUAUCUCAACUGCGUUGUAUUUGGCCAUGAAAUUGACGUUCUCAAUAAGUUUAAGUUGCUCCAUGGCAAUUUCAUAGUCGGUUUUCUUCGAUGGAUCGCGGCCAGAACGAUUCUUGUUCGGAGAACUAACUGAGGCACUCGUGCUGGAGCUCUUCUUCCGACUAACCAGUGACUCGAUGCUUUCACAGACCCUGAGAUAUCUAUCGGUCACUGAGCCAGAAGCGGUGGACAUGGGACUACAGCCAGAGCCAUCACCCGACUUCCGCUUUCCUUUCCCCUUUCCUUUUGCUUCUUUCGGCCCUCGCACCUCAAUUUCAGCUUCCUUGUCCCUGCUGGACCUUGAUCCCUUUCCCCGUGCAAGCCGGGCUGUAGUCUCCAUUUCUCGCUCAUCGGCUGAAGUACGGGGCUCGUUCUCGAAGCCAGAACUGAAGUCUCCCGUCGCGCCUUGGUUGACGAAGACUUCCUCAAGCAAAUGAUAGACGGUGCAGUCAUUUCGAAAUUUGCUGUAUUUUGGGUUGACCUGACAAAACAAAUUCAGCCAAAAUAGUUUUAAUGGAAUAUACACGUAUGAAAUGACAGAACAGUUUAUAUACAAAAACAAAAGGCACAUAAAAUGGUUAUACCUGCUCCAUCGCGGCCCAUUGGCUAUCAUCCAUAAGCCAUGUAAACUUCUGGCUAUCCUAACCCAUUCCCGUUCCACGCCUCUUAAAGGAAAUGUACAGCUUGGUCUCCCCGCGCAAUGCAUAAUACUUGCCCCUUAUACUAUCCUCGGUAAACGAGGUGCCGUACUGGCCAUUUAACCGGCGCCGGAUUUCGGGAACCACGUAGGACCCAAUAUUGUCCCUAAUUUCACCCUGUCUAUGCAUCUCAACAAGGUGCUCAGCAAACUUGAUUUCGUGCUGCCUAGAGUAAUUACAACGCUCCUUAUCUUGAUGGCGCCUUUGUUUUCUCAUCUUAAUAAGCCAUACACAAAUCCAUUUGAAAAAACAAAUUGUAAGCAGCUUUUUAGAAAGGAAAACAGAUUGUAUUGCAUAAGCAGCUAAAUUUUAUUUAAAGCACGUUUAACUACACUUUAUAGCCAAAUCUGUGGAUAACCCAAAUCUGUCAGCCAUUAAAUACACUUUAAAUAACCAAAUGGUUAAUCGAAAAAUACAGCAAUAACCAAGGUUUAAAUACUAGACAAUCAUGUAUUGUAAUGAGGAUCAAGCCAAAUCUGUUAACAAAAUCUAAAAAACUAUAACUAAAAAAGAUUAAAUUGAGCACCCAUCCAACAUAACACUAGCAACUCAGGAACAAAACCAGUUUUGGUAAUGUGAAGUUUCGCUUUAGAGUCAAGAGUUAUGACAAAAACUGAACUAAAUAACAAAUGCUAAUUCUGCAUAGUGAAAUCCGACAAUAAUAUUCAAGGCAAUGAACAAAAAUGUUCGAAUUUACUGUUUCAUGGGACAAGGAAGAAGGUCCAACUUUAGAAGAGUCAGCCCCCAAACAUAUUAUGACUAAAAUGGUGUUUCACACACAAAAUUAGGCAAAAACAACUACAGGAGGUACAAUGGUACCUUGUAGUAGUUAGAAAGGCACUUCCGAAUAUCGUUUUCCGCCCAAUCAGACCUGGUUGAAAGAGAUUUCUGGAUCCCAAUCGGCUUCAAUGCUGUGUCAACAACAAGGAUCGUCAAAUACUAGACAACCAUACUAUAGAAUGCACUGAACAAAGGGGAAAUUGGCAAAUAUACCUUUGGCAGAACGGCGGGUAACAGGGGGCAUGAAAUCCUAGCCAGCGGCAAUAUAGAGCGGUAAAGCACCCUGUAUAAGCGAAUGGACAGCAAGGAGAAGUUAGACUGCUCUAUAAAUUCAGUUGCUUUUGGGAAAUCAAACUGCCCUAAAAUUUGACUCUCGACAUCUCAUCGCGCAAGUUUUAAGUAAUAAAAUAGCUACAUAAAUAUUUGGAACAUGUAGCAACAGCCGUCGAAUAUUCUGUCCAGGUUUCAAUCAAGAGAAAAUAUUAUGCGACAACCGAAAGUUUCAGAAGUAAGCAAAUUAUAGACAACUAAGGAACUCAAAUUGAGUUAACUUUCCACAUCCACAAAAGAGAAAAAGAAAGUGCUAAUUCAAUCAUCAAAGAGGGAAAAAUGGUAAGCUUUUUGAACUAGAGAUCAAUCUGGAUGCUAUUCUUCUUGAUUUAGUUAGAGUUAUGAGUGCAAUCAGAUCAGUUGUCCUUAACUUGUUGAGUGCACACACAGAUGACAAGAAAUUGAAGAAUAAAGAUGAGUUCUCUACAAUCACAUAUAUACUGCUCCUGCAGAUUCUCCUGAGAUUAAUCUAACAGGUACACAAAAAAGUGAUGCAAUACCACCAAUAUCAAUCAUACCUCCUAUCAAAAAAUUGAUAGAGAAUGUUGACAUGACAAACAGGAGGUACCUGAUGCCAAAAACAACACCUACCAAGCAUCUUUACUAAGACGAAUAAUAGGAAAGGUCUAAGCGUACUGAAAUGGUGAUUGUUGAUGACUACAGCCAGUUCAGUCUAACAAAAAAGCGGUUUACAGGGUGAUAAUGAGACAGGUUACAUGUUGGAUUAAGAGUACAAUGCUCCCUUUGAACUUCUAAAUCUUUGUAAUCCUACAUGACUUCGCAUAAGUUUUACAAUUUACUUGUAAUCUAAUAGAUGAAAAUGGACAUUAGAGCUCUCAUGCAUCAACCAAGACUGUAACGUAAGCUUUAAUUUGCAUUCAGAAGAGAAAGUGAACAUGUCUAGACCAAACUUAAUUAAAAGUAAACACCACAAACAAUUUAUUGGGAUAUGCUGCAUGUCAAACUAGUUAGGCAUUCAUUGCAAGCACGACCUUCUGCAGCUAAAAAUUGGUACUUUGAAGUAUUCAUUAAUAGCUUUCUAUGGAAAAAUUUACAUGAAAUUGGUACAAGGCCGAGCUAACCACAAUCACAUCAUAUAAUUUACAGUUUGGACAAGACCAGGAUUUCACCUCGAAAGUUAUCCAGAGAGAAAAUAAGUGAUAUAAUCUGAACGAUUCUCUAUUUUGGAAGGGGAUAAACAAAUCAAGCAAUUUCCAGGAUUUGUCCAUUCGGUAAUAAAGGUAUAUAAUCUGAACGAUUCUCAAUAUGAUAGAUUGAGUACUGGUAGGAAGUAAAUCAAAUUCAAAAACAAUGGACUUGGUGCUGUUCCUUCCAUUAUUGAAAUCUCAGACCAAUACCAAGACCAGGACAAAGUACAGGACAAGAAAACUUUAAAAAGAGCUCCCAUCUCUUCUGAAAUCGCUCCGACACAGAAAGCAUGAUACAGAGCUAACAAGCUCCCCUUCCCCUUCCCCGUUUUUCACAAUUCCUCGGACAAAUGCAUCAAUUCGACUGAGUAUGAGAACCAGGUAAAACAAGCAGAAUGUAAUUACUGCGUACCAUCUUAAAUUAGCAUCCAAGAUUUCCAGGAAGGCCUGAAUAUAAUGGUUUUACUUCAGUUAUUACAUACAGAAAAUGAUAUAAUCAUAGGAGCGAAGGAUUUGAUAUCUUUGUUGCUGACCUAAAGAUUUGAGACACCCAACAGACUCAUGUUCGUGUGAUAAGCUUCCCCAAGGUCAAAACGCAACACUCCCACCCUGGUUUACCUCAUAUAAUCAGCCCUGGAAAAGGUAAAAUAAGCAGGGAAACCAGAGCUUACCGUAUUCGACCUGCACAGCGAAGAUGCUGUACCGUCGGUUGCUUUUGAGCUGAAGACCCGCCGUGGUUAAGUGUCUCAAUCGUAGGAAAAGGGCUGUGAUCGCGGCGUAAAUGGGCUCAGAUUCACGUCAUUGGUUGCAGAUUCCGGUGAAAUUUUGCAGAUCUUGAAUCCACUCUGGUUUGCUUGUUUUUUUCAAGAGCAGCGGCUAGAAUGUUUGCUUGUUUGGGAAAGUGAUAUGAGGGUUGAAUGGGUGUCAACUGUCAACGAUAGAUGCAGUCCGAGAACAAGUCUUUGGCAAUUUUUGUCAAAACGACGUAGUUUUGUCAUUUUUAACUGUAGACUUUAUUGUAACCAAAAUACAAUUAGAGGUUGUUUUUGAAAGACAAAAACAGUUUUAGCAAAAAUUGACAAUCCAAACGGAGCCAAACAUUUGUCCUUUGCUUCUCUUAUUAUUUGCCUCAAUAUUGUAUCACAAUUCAGUAGCAUACAGAAUUGAAUACAAAACAGAGAUCUGAAUUGGUCGUUGUACGGAGCAACAUAGAUGCCCCAACGACCUUUUUAGUUACGGAGCAGGCGACGUUUGUCUUUUGCUUUUGGUAAAUAGUACAAGAAGCAAGAGCUAUGAAGCAAGCACUACUUUAUAGCUCCAGUUGUUUUUGUUUAUGUGCUUUGGGGAGUGUAGAGGAAAAAUUGGCAGAGCCCAGAUAGGGAAAGGGGGGAGAGAGAUGGGGAAGAGCAUUUGUGAUGUGGGAGUGGAAGACUUGGUUGGAGCAGGCCUGUCAGUUGAGGAGGCAAAGGUUCCAAAGGCACCUCAAAGAUUCUAUUUUUAAGGUUAGCAGAAAUAGUGAUAAUGGGGAGGAGCCGGUUGCCCCAAGAAACUAUGGAGGGAGCUGGCAGCCCAGAAAUUGUUGAAACCAUGGCAUCCACAUGCUCUUCAUCAGCUCAUUUACUAUUCUGUUUAUCAUAACUAUGAUGAGUCCACCAAUGGCCUCCUAUCUAUUGGUUCCCUUCACUGUAAGCACUGUAUUGAUGAUUCUUUUCAAGUAUUGGUUGAUUUUUGCGAUUUUGAUUGGGUUUGACAGUUUGAAAUUUUGAAGCUUUUCUGCUUCUUCUUCUUCUUCGUUUCUUUUUUUGGAAUUUAUGAAAGAUUAAUGCAGUUGAAAAGUUUGAAUCUUGUGACAUUGUAUUAGUAUGGGAAUUCUGAGGGACUAUGCUGUCAGGUGAUAAGAAAGUCAAGACUUUACCUAACAAAAAGAAAUGCAAGUCAGACUUUCAAUGUUGAUUCUCGUGUUCAAAAAAUUUUGUUGUUAUAAAACGUCCAACUCUUUUAAAAUAGAAAUGUAAAUUUCAAGGUUUCGAUCUUGAAGUUUUUGCUUUUGUGACAGACAGUAAAGUUCUUUUAGGGCGUAUA
rnacentral:lncRNA from 1 species